GCCCCUAAAGUCGAUAAUACAACCCCUAAACAUAUCUUCUAGAAUCUGAAUGACCCUCUCUAACUGCUCAUCCGACUGAGGGUGAAAAGCCGUACUAGAAUCUGAAUGACCCUCUCUGACUGCUCAUCCCAAUGCCUCAUGCAAAUUCUGCCAAAACCGAGAUGUAAACCUUGGGUCUCGGUCAGAAAUUAUCGAUACUAGCACCCCAUGCAACUGCACUAUCUCUGCCACAUACAACUUGGCCAACCUCUGAAGUGAGUAAUCAGUUGGAACAGGUAUGAAAUGGGCAGAUUUCAUCAGCCUAUCCACAAUCACCCAAACUGAGACCUUCUUGGAAGGUGUCAAUGGCAGACCACUCACAAAAUCCAUAGUUACCCUUUCCCAUUUACAAAGUGGUAUCUUCACUGGCUGUGACAAUCCUAAAGGUAGUUGAUGCUCGGCCUUUACUUGUUGACACGUCAAACAUUUUCCCACAAAUUCGGUCACUUCUCACUUAAGCCCAGGCCACCAGUAUAGCUCUCGCAAGUCUCGAUACAACUUACUCCCUCCUGGAUACAUAGCACAAGGUCCACCAUAAGCCUCUCUCAAAAUCAUCAAUCUCAAAUCUGAGUCCUUCGGUAUACAAAUUCUUCCUCGAAAACAAAGAACCUCAUCAACAUUUAAUCCAAAGUCUGGAUUCUCCCCCUUCUCAGCUUGUUGAAACUGAGAAACCAACGACUCAUCCACCAACUACUGCUUCUUAAUCUGAUCCACCCAAGUCGGUCUCACUUGUAAUUUUUUUAAUAAGCUUCCAUCGUCAUACAAGCUUAAACGAGCAAACAUUGCCUUCAAUUCCGCCACAGUCCUUCGACUCAACGUAUCAGCCACGACAUUUGCCUUACCUGGAUGGUACUCAAUCGAACAGUCAUAGUCCUUUAACAACUCUAUCCACCUUCGCUGUCUAAGAUUCAGCUCCUUUUGACUCAACAAGUACUUAAGACUCUUAUGAUCCGUAUAGAUAAUGCAUCUCUCCCCAUACAAGUAGUGCCUCCAUAUCUUAAGCGCAAAGAUCGCCGCUGCCAACUCCAAGUCAUGAGUAGGAUAGUUUACCUCAUGAGGCUUAAGCUGUCGUGAAGCAUAAGCGACCACUUUACCCUUUUGCAUCAACACACAGCCCAAACCUACAUGUGACGCGUCACUGUACACAGUGAAAUCCUUACCAGACUCUGGCUAAAUCAACACUGGUGCCUCAUUCAGAACCUUCUUUAACUUUUCAAAAGCCUCUUGCUACUUAUUUGUCCAAACAAACGGUGCUCCUUUCCUUAUAAGUUUCGUUAACGGCGCUGCCAACACAGAAAAUCCUUCCACAAAUCUUCGGUAAUAACCUGCCAACCCUAGAAAACUUCAGAUUUCUGUUACUGACCUCGAUGGCUAACACUCCAGAAUCGCCUCAAUCUUCCGAAGGUCUACCUUGAUCCCCUCAACAGACACAACAUGCCCCAAGAAAGUUACUUCACUCAACCAAAACUCGCACUUACUGAACUUUGCAUAGAGUUGUUUUUCCCUUAGCACUUGCAGCGCAAUACGAAGAUGCUCAUCAUGCUUCUCUUUCAUUUCCGAGUACACUAAGAUAUCAUCGAUAAAAAUGACUACGAACUAAUCCAAGUACGGCUGAAAUACCCGAUUCAUCAAAUCCAUGAAUGCUACCGGUGCAUUAGUCAAACCAAAGGGUAUAACCAGAAACUCGUAAUGACCAUAUCGAGUUCUGAAUGCCGUCUUAUGAAUAUCCUCUUCUUUGACUCUUAACUGAUGAUAUCCUGACCGAAGGUCGAUCUCAGAAAAUACUGAAACUCCUCUCAGUUGGUUGAACAGAUCAUCGAUUCUUGGCAAAGGAUACUUGUUCUUGAUCGUCAGUUUGUUCAACUGCCGAUAAUCAAUACACAUUCACAUGGUCCCAUCUUUCUUCUUUACGAACAACACUAGUGCGCCCCACGGAGAAACAUUUGGUCUUACAAACCCUCUAUCCAACAGUUCUUGAAUCUGAGCUUUCAGUUCCACCAACUCCUUUGGUGCCAUUCGGUAAGGUGCAAUGGACACUGGAGUUGUUCCAGGUAACAAGUCGAUUCUAAACUCGACUUCUCUGUUCGGAGGUAGUCCAGGAAACUCAUCAGGAAAAACAUCUUGAAAUUCCUUGAUAGUCCUGACUGACUCCAUAGUCAUCCCCUUAGGUUUAGCUUGACUCACAAAUGCUAAAAAUGCCUCACAACCUUUCCAAAUCAACUUCUCAGCCCUUAAAGCCGAGACAACAUUGGACAAAUAGUUCCUUCGUUCCCCUAUGACCAUUAUCUCCUCAUCCUCGGCAAUUCUUAGCACCAUUCUCUUAACAGCACAAUCCAAUGCCGCCCUAUGCUUAGUUAUCCAGUCCAUUCCCAAAAUAAGAUCAAAUUCCCCAAAUGGCAGCUCCAUCAAAUCUCCUACAAAUAUCCUAUCUUGUGUCUCUAAAGGCACCUCCCUAAAGAGUUUAUCUACUUUAACCGAGUGUCUCAAAGGACUUAUCACUGAUACCCCACUCACAGUCUCCUCAGGAAGCACACCCAAUGGCCCAUAUACAUUACAAGCAACAUACAAAUGAGCGGAACCAACAUCAAUCAAAGCAGUGUAAGGUGUGCUAUGAAUGAAGAAUGUACCGGUUAUAACAUCAGGAGCAUCACCUUCCUCACGACGUUGUGCAGCAUAAACCAACGCCGACUGUCAAGCUUCAGCAUGUUCAGCACCCCUUCCAGGUGCCCCACGUCCUCGUCCAUUACCAUUACCACCUCUACCUUGCCCACGACCUCUCUGUGGUGGGGGUCUUCCUCACAGCGGUUGGACACCUCUUUGCUCCGCAACUUGUUCCUGAGCUACUUUCCGAAGACACUCUCUAAACUUAUGUUCCUUUGACCCACAUCGAUAACAUGCUCCAGUUCGUUUCCAGCACUCCCCCAUAUGUACUCUGCCACAGUCCCUGCAAGUCUGCGGUCUAAAGGUAUUCACCGAAACUGCUCGAGCCAGUUCCUCCAUUAUAGCUCUUUUAGCAUUUCUAUAUGCAGCACCCGAGGGUCCAGAAUCCCUCCUGAAUCUAGGUCGAUCCCUCUCACGAUUCUGCCAUUCAGUUUAUUUUACUUCCUCAGCUAUCUUUGCCUUCUCUACCAACGCAGCGAAAUCACGCUCCCUCUGUGGAGCUAUCAGCACCCUAAGCUCAUCACGGAGGCCAUCUUCAAAUCAAACACUGUGCUCAUAUUCGGUCGCAACUAUCCCGCUAGCAUAUCAACUCAACCUCAAGAAUUCCACCUCAUACUCCACAACAGUUUUAUUACCCUAGCCAGAUUCAAAAAUUCCUUUCGACGAGCAUCUACAUAACUAGCUCCAACACACCGCCCCUUAAAAGUAGUCUUAAACAGUUCCCAGGUUACUCGUUCAAUCGGGGUACUCUCCUUUACAGUGAUCCACCACUGGUAUGCCUCAUCUCGUAGCAACGACACGGCCCCCUUCAGCUUUUGCUCCACAGAGCAAUCUAGGUUGUCCAUAAUCCGCUCUGUUGCCUCUAGCCAAUAUUCAGCGACGUUUGGGGCUACUUCAGAUACGCCUCUAAAAACCUCUGCUCCGUUAGUCUGGAGUCACUCAGAGAUGGAUCCCCUAUUCACUGUCCCGGUGCUAGCUCCAGGAACCCUUUCCAAAACCCUUAACAUCGCUUGGGACAAAGUAUCAUCCCCCGCAGCUCGAUCAUGUGACCCAGUCUCAGUUGCCUGUGGCACGGAUGCCUCCUCAGCUGACCUAUGCCCUGAGAAAGAAGAUUCAGCUUGCACCCUUCUGUGACCACGUCCGCGGCCUCGUCCACGAGUCCCUCUUGUACUUAUAUCAAAUUUUCUGAUUACGAAUUUUAUGACAUUAAUUUAAUAUUUCAGUUGUUUAUUACGAGCUGUCUUAUGGAAAUACAGCAGUUCAGAGAUUGUUUUCACAACGUAGUAGCCUAGCUACAGUCUCAAUCCUACUGUUUUAUAGCUCUACCCUGUCUAAAGUAUCAUAGUAGGGUCUCAUUUCUAUCUAUAGCAUCAUAUCAAUAUCAUACGGUGUAAAAGAAAGUAUAUUUACAGACUUGGUGUCGGGGAUUCAGUGUGCCACUUCUUUCUCCAAACCAUUUAAAACUUAAAAACAUGUAUUUGGUCACAAAAAAAAGGGUUUCUUUCUAGAAAUUCUUAAAAAUUGAUUUAAAAUACCUUUGUUUUGAAAUACUUGAUUUUUAAACCCGUUUAAAAUCCACAGCCGAGUUGUUGCAACCUGACUCUGAUACCACUAAAUGUAAUACCCCAAACCCGGCCCAGAUGUUAUGGCCAGAUCUGACGUGUCACAUUAAAGUUUUUUAAGAAAGCCCAUGCGUCUUUCAACAUCCUUCUUAGAGUUUUAAAAGAUAGUCUUUGAUAAAUUGAUAAAGUGAAUGGAAGCUGUGCACCAGGUAGGUAUCCGUAACAGAGGAGGUGAGCCAUGAAGGCUGCUUAAGUACCAAGCUCUUGAUUGGAUCCAAUCCUAGACAUGCCCACAACCAUUUCCACACUUUGGCGCGAGGUUAGGUUUUGGAAAAAAAGGUCGAGUUGGAAUUCAUUUAAGCAGAUAUUUUUGAUAAACCGAUUACUUGUAUCAUUGCGCUAUUUUGAAAACAAGUAUCACUUUGAAAACGCGCCCUAAGUCUAACCUAUUUUGGAUAAUUAUCAGUAAAAUACAGAGUAUAUAAUAAAAUAAAAUAAUCCCAAAAAAAUAAUUAAAACGGCCUUAUUGCAACCCAAAACCGAAUAAUAAUAAUAAUUAGGAUAAGACUUAUUAAAAAAACUAGUUACUUAUUGCAAAGUUCGGAAGCGAUCACCACGGCCACUCUGAAUCCCCUCCGGCUCCAAGUCUCCACAUCAAGGCUCACCUACAAGGUUAAGGAAAGGGGUGAAUUUGGAAACUCAGUGUGCAACAACCCCUUUCAGAGCCCAAACUAAUAUCAGCAUACUGGGCCAAAGCCCUAAUUCAGUCUCGUCAUAUACUGGGCCGAAGCCUUUCGUUUAACGGUUACUGGGCUGAAGCCUUUUCAUAAAUCAUACCACUGGGUCGAAGCCUUUACUGUAAACAGUAUGGCCCAUAGGCUUAUUUCAAUAUCACAUGAAAUACCAAUGAAUGUAUGCAAGCCCAUUUGGGGAGACUACUCAACCAACCAUCUGCUACUUUCCACCCGUACCAACCAAGCUCUCCAUGUGGGGAAUAACUCAACCCACCCAACCAAACUCUCCACUGGCAGCAUAGCUGCUUUAUCAUUAACUGAAGGCCUAGCCUCUUUUAAUAACUGGGGCAAAGCCCUUUUUGGUAAACUGGGGAAAAGCCCUUUUCGCACUACCUCCAUUUAUAUAAAGCCCAACCCAUGCAUAUAAUGAGUAUAUCAUGGCAUAUCAUGUGCAUCUCAUGACAUAUCAUGUGCAUACCAUGUCAAAUCAUGUAUAACAAUAUCUCAUGCUUCAUAUUCAUAAUUAAACCCUAAGGGGUAUAAUAGUCAUUUUUACCUAGGGCAAAAUAGUCAUUUUUCAUAUUAUAAGGAUAAUUUCGUAAUUUUACCAAAUAUUAUGGGUUUCCCAUGUUCAUUAACGAUUAUCAAUAUUUCUAAGUGUUUAAAUAAUGAUCUUUAACCCACUUAUCAAAUUCAGGCUUUUGGGCCCAAAACCCUUAAUGGGCCCUACGAAUGCCGAUUUUAGCCCAUUAAGUCCACUUAACCCAAAUUUUACAAUAGUACUAACCGUGUUAACAUGAAACUUUUCCAAAUUCCAUUUUCUAUCAAUUUUACACAAAUGGCCCAAAAGCCCAUUGGGCCUAGUUCCAGCCCAUCGAUGCCCAACUUGCCAUCGUGUACAAAAUUGUUCUCUUACCUGUUCCAUCGAUCCAAACACCGAUCAUAUCGUAUUUAUCGCAUCUAUAACCAAAUACAAAAUCACAAGUUCCUGAAAUGCCGAAAUUUUAGCAUUUCGACUUUUCAGCGAAUAUUAUUCUAAGCUACUACGAGGGUUAUUACACACCUGUUUUGUGACGUUUGCUAACAAGGUCUCCCACGACAACCUACAAUUAAUCAUCACCAUUCUUAGUUUACAAUUCAUACUUAUCAAACCCAAAAUCCACCUUACCAUAGUCGGCUAAAGAACCCCUAAUAGCCAUAGAUCACUUACCUACACAGGGUCCGAUGAUUCGAUCCAAGUUUAUCCAAACCGAUACUCCAAGCCUUGCUGCUCCUCCAAAGUUGUGUAUUUCACUACACAAACCAUAAAAAUCAAAUGAAAGGGCCCAGUAAGGCCUAUACCUCAAAUCGACAACCUCUUUAAACUAUAGGAGGUUUCAACUUUUCUUAACAUUUACACUACUUAAUCGAUUUGGAAAAUGAGUACUUACCACAGUCUUCCCUUCUGCACUGUUUAGAAUCAAAGUAAACUUAGCCCUCAACCACCUAGCAGCCUUCGAACCCUAGAGGUCUACAGGUUAAGCUAUGCCCCUAGAACUAAGGUAUUUUGGCUUUUAAGACCAAGCAAAAGGAAAAGAAAUGGUGUGGUGGCUUUGUAUUGGUGUUGCCGUUGGAGACUUUUAGAGUUUAGUGGAUGAAGGGGUCGGUCACAACAAACGAAGAGCAAAGAAUGAUGCUGGUCUAAAUGAAAUUGGUACAACCAACUUCAAAAGUUUCGGCUCUUGUGGCUAUUUGGCAAGGGUGAUGAAAAGAAAGGGAGUAGUAGUUUGGCUUUGGCAAAAGAAGAGAAAGAAAAAUGGGUGAAAGGAGUGGUGAUUUCGACUAGAGAAAAAAAAGAAAGAAAAGAAAAAGCCCUAUGAUGUUCAAACCAAAGAAAACGACACCACUAAAGCCCCUAAUGCCGAAAUACUAACCUAAAACCCAUAAACCUAUUUCUCCUCCCUAAAUUCCCACUAUUCGGCCAACACUAAGCCUCCAUUCAAAUCCCUAAAAUCUCUCCCCUUAUCACUUCUAAUUCCAUGCAUUUGACUGAUUCAAACUCUCUCCAACAGAGUUCCAUUCGACUUCAACCUCUUGCAUGCUCAAGACAUAAAAAUAACAACACAAUUGCCAGCUUAGUGAAUCGAACCUUGGCUUUCCCCCAACCACGUACACGCCACUUUUUUUUAGCUCCUUAGUGGCGUCAAUUACCUACUUUGCCAGGGGCUCUCUUGUGUCACAUUUUACCCACAUCUUUUAAUAAGGCCACCUAUCCAAUGCCCCUAAAUCUUUAAGUCCAAAAUUCAAAAAUUCUACCAGGUUUUAGCCAACACAUGGGCCUUCCAUAGGGCCAUUUACACACUCCAAUUAUGAAUUUCCCAACCAAAAACCAAAUUUUAAAAAUUUUACCAAAUUCUCAAAAAUUACGAAAAUCUCAAAAACCAGGGUGUUACACUAGUGGAUUGCUUUCGGGAUACAUUCGUACCUAUGUCUUCGUGAGAUUUUCAUCUCCAUAUGGCCAUAGGGAAAUGCAUUCCCCUGAAUCAAACCCGAUUCUUAUUAGCCUAUAAUGGGUGAGGAUUAAGGAAUCUAUUGGUUCAAGUACCCUUUCCUUAGAAUCGAACCACAUAUAGAAAGACAGGAGCCUACCCUAGGUAGAGCCACGCCAAAUCUUAGGUCACCGAGUUAGGUGUUCUAUAUUGUUUUUUCUCUUUUCUGUACUAACGUGUUUUGUUUUGUCUAUGAUUGCAUUGCAUUACAACAUCAUAGAAAGAAUGUGUUGAUUCAUAUUCGAUUGCUAAAUAAAAGAGCUUGUCAUGGAAAUGGAUUUCUUGAUAAAGUCGAUUAUAAUACGGUUGUCUGAAUAUGGUCUAAGUAAACACAAUGAAAAAAGGCUAAUAGUUCGUGGAAGAAAACAAGACUUUGUUUUAUCACCGUAGAUUCAAGUCGAUAAAGAUUAUUCGAGAGCCAUCACAUCUUGACUUUUUUAAAGGAGCUAACAAGCAUCGUGAGGAUAAGUGAGUAAUAAGUCACAGCCUGGAUCAAGCAAAAAGGAAAAUGAGGACAUCUUUUGGAAAAUUCGUAAGAUUCAACCAUAACAUCCGGAUAUAAAGAGAAGAGCGUGUCUUCGCCUGGACUAUAAGGGCAAUGCCAUAUAUGUAAUCCAUUUUAUGUAAAGAGAUUUAUUUUCUAGAAAAGUUGUUCUAAUGGAAUUGAAUUUAGAAUCAACGUAUCUCUUUUUUUGCAUUCAUUCCAUGCAUCUGCAUUGCAUUGCAUCAUUUUCAUUAAACUUUCACAAAAGGACCUUAAUUAGGUAAAAUAAUUUCAGUUAACCUGGGAACCGAAAAAAGUCAAGCGACUAAGCAUCUUUACGGUACAUGGAAAAGGACCAAAUAUAUGGAUCAAAGGUUUGAAAGACUCGAACAACUUCAAAAAGAAAUGCAAGACAAGUUACAAAUGCAAAUGCAAGAGCAGCUUGCUAAGGUCCAACAAGACAUGAUAGACGAAAUGCUGGCGUCCCAAAGGAAUAUGAUGAAUUAGUUGUCCCAAUUGUUGACUAAGGGGCUAGAAAAGGGAAAAAGCUUCAUGAUUAAUACUGGGAAGGACAAUGAGGAGCCUCUCUACCCUUCAGGUUUCACCCCGACAAAUGCUCAGACAUGUCUGCAGGGUUUACCUAUUGCUGUCAGAUCUCAGCAAUAUCAGGCCAAUAUCUCGGCACUAGUGAAUUACCCAAUAGGCUCAAGCUUCAAUCCAGGGGGCAAUCCAACCACUCCCCUAGUUCCUGACCUAGAUGACAUGAAAAAAGCAAAGAUAGAACUGCCAAAACAACUCGAGGAUCGGUAUAGGUGGUUGGAGGAAAAAGUUAAGGCAAUGGAGAAUGUUGACUACUAUUGUGGGGUUGGCACCAAGGAUCUGAUUUUAGUCCCCGAUCUAGUAUUCCCGCCAAAAUUUAAGACUUUAGAGUUUGAAAAGUACAAUGGGACUAAUUAUCCUGAAGCUCACAUCAAAAUGUUCUGUCGAAGAAUGACAGGAUAUGUCAAUAACGACCAACUAUUAAUCCAUUGCUUCCAAGGCAGUCUAAUCGUGUCAGCAGCUAAAUGGUACAAUCAAUUGAGUCGUGCUAAAAUCAGUUCAUGGAAGGACUUAGCACAAGUUUUUAUGAAGCAGUAUAGCCAUGUAACGGACAUGGUACCCGACAGAAUUACCCUACAGAAUAUGGAAAAUAAGCAAAAUAAGAGCUUCAAGUAGUAUGCCUAAAGAUGGAGAGGGGUAGCAACACAGGUCCAGCCGUCUCUUCUGGAAAAGGAGACCACGAUGCUUUUCAUCAAUACUCUGAAGGCCCCGUUCAUUAACCAUAUGUUGGGAAGCGCUACUCUAAGCUUUUCAGAUAUAGUAAUGUCAGGUGAGAUGAUUGAAAAUGCGGUAAGAAGUGGGAGGAUAGAUGUUGGAGAAAACACUAAAAGGUUAACCCUGAGAAACAAAGAAAAUAAAGUUAGUAUCGUGAGCAUGCCUUCCAAAUUGGUUAACAUAGGCCAGUCGAGGGCUGUACUAGCUAUCAAGGCUCUUCAAGGCAGGAAUCCAACUCGAGGCCAAGUACAGAAAGGCUCCGGUUUACACCCAUCCCGAUGUCAUAUAAGAAGUUGUAUCAGAAUAUUUUUUAUGUGCAUAUGGUGUCUCUGUUCUAUUCAGAACCCGUGCAAUCUUUAUUCCCAAAAUGGUAUAAUGAGAAUGCUCAAUGCGAGUACCAUGCGGGAAUAAAGGGACACUCAAUCAAAAACUGCACUACAUUUAAAAAGUUGGUCGAAAGGUUCAUUGAAAUGGGAAUUGUGGAGUUUGACGAUUCCUUAGAACCUAAUUGUUCUGACAAUGCAGUAAAUGAAAUAUUUGAAGGUGGGGGCAAAAGAGUUGCGAUGCCUUGAACAAGUCAAAAACCUGGAGGGAACCAAAGAAUAAAAGUUUCCAAACCCUUGCAUACUUGGGAGUGUUUUGAACGAUGGGACUAUGGAAGAGAUUCUUGUAUUUUUUUAGAGCUAAUCUAGAGUAAUAUUCAAAGCAUGCUUGUUGCUUUAAGCCUAGAGGCAAUAAGAAUCCUUUUGUGAAAUAGGCUUGUCUCCAGAAUUUUUAUUUCAAUAAAAUGCAUCUUCUUGAGAAAAUGUUCUUUCUUUCUUUCCAUUUCAUAGUAUACAUUCUUUUGUUCUUUCGUAGGCCAAAAAUAAUUUUUUUAAUAAAAUAAAAUGUUUUAUUAGGUGAUCUGAUCACACCUAAACAAAAAGGAUUGGUGGCGACUCCAUACCAUAUUUUGAAGUCGAUCCCAAUUUUUUUCAAAAUUAAAAAAAAAAUGGUUUUGACACUAAGUAUAAUUAAAUUGAUAAUAAUACGAUGUUCUGGAUGUUGGGAAGAAAAAUAGUUCCAUUUGAACCUUGAGAAUACUUAUGAUACAAAUGACAUGUCAUUAGGGAUUAUACGGUUUUGGGUGCUGGUCUUGGAUGUCCUACUGAUGGCUGAGGUCCUACAUUUGUUGCGGAUUCUCCACAGCUUGUGUAAGCAACAUCCUGAAGUCAACAUCCCAACUCAUUUCCAAGCUCGUGUGAGCAAUAUUAAAAAGGUUACAAUUACAUGAAAAGUCACACUUUGUGCGGGUAUUUCCCGAGUAUCCAGUGUUGUUGAAUAUGGUUCAUCGGCCAAUUUAGGUGAAAUGGAAAGGUACGUAUAUGAAAUAAGCUAUAAUGUUGAGUAUAUGAAAUGAGCUAUGAUGUUGAAUAUAUAAAUGGAUAGUAUGAUAUGUGCAAUUAUAUUGUAAAGGGAAUCAAAUGAAUAUGUGGUAGAUGAUUUGUAUAUUGAGAUUAUUUCAUGAAAUGUUCCAUGAAUUGGGUGAAACUAUAUGCUCAUUAUAUACCCACUAACCUUGUAGAGUUGUGUGUAUAAGAUGGAAUGUAUGCACUUGUAUAAUGAUUGAAUGGUUAAAAAUAACAUAUGUGGUAAGUUUAAGUUCACAUUAUACGAACUUACUAAGUAGUAGUUGCUUAUGUAGUUAUUUUCUCUAUUUUGUAGAUCAUCGGAAGCUUGAUAAGUUGGAAUCUUGUCGGAUCUCUAUCACAUUAUCCUUCAACCACUUUGAUAGUUUUGGUUGUUUUGGCUAUGGUUAUAAAUGGCAUGUAUAGAGCUUAUAUGUAAUAGAAGUUUUGAUUUAUGCUAUUUGUCCAAUGUGAUAUGCUUAUGUGUUGUAUAUAUGUUUUGUUUUGACUUGUAAAUGCAUAGGCAUGUUUAUGUCUUUUGGUCACUUUUAAAUGUAUUGUAAAUAUAUGGCUUAUGACUUAUUCAUAUAUGGUUGAAGCCAUUCAAUAAUGUGUGAAUAUGGUGAUGUAUGUUUAGGUUAUAAUGUAGCUUUCAAUAAAUUGAAUUGAUGUGUGAUUUGAGUGCCUUUUGAUGGCAUAUUGGUUUGUUAUAGGAUGAGUGAAUAUCUAACAUGUUUUUGAUGUUUUGUAUGUUUUAAACAUGUGAAUGUUGGUAGAAUUGGUCUAUCUUGCUAUGUAAGAAUUGGUUUUAACAUGGCUUGCUUUAAGGGCAAUUUAUGUUGCACACGGCCUGGGGCACAGGUUAUCACACAGCUAUGUGUGCCCCACAUGGUCGUGUGUCAUUAUUGUUUUUAGGUGCAUGUUUCACACGAUUUAAGACACGGCAUGCGACAUGAUCGUGUGUCUCAAGUUAGUAUGUAACACUAUUUGGCACACGAACUACGACAUAACCGUAUGGGCCUAUUUCGAAUACCCACAUGGGUGGACACACAGGCUGGGACAUGGCCGUGUGUCCAAAUUUCAAAUGUCCACAUGAUCUUGGCUAUGUCACACUGGCCACACGACCAUGUGACCCUUAUUUUCCCAAAAUUUUCUAUUUUGUUUUAAAUUGAUCCCUGAUUGUUUCCAAGUUGUUUUAAGGCCCCGAAGACUCGGUUUAAUGCCCAAUAAUGUAUUUUACUAUGGUUAUAUUGAGCUAUUGGAUGUUGGUAUUAAUUUGCAUUUUUUUUGUUUUGAAGUUAAACAUCCUAUUUUGUAUGGUAAUGCUUCGUAACCCUAGUUCGGUGACAGAUACGGGUUAUGGGUGUUACAAUUCGGCAGCAAAAGAAGUCUUGAAAUAGGUUAUUCCUUAAAAUCAUGAUAAUUGGUUUUUUCACUUCCAAACAUCUCAGAUUGGUUAAUUUCUAAUCUACAAUCUUCUGAGCUAUUUGAUUCCUUAGAAGUUAGCUGGGUAAGCCUAUUUGGUCUUAUAGCGUGGAGGAUUUGGAAGAAUAGAAACCUUUAUGUUCUCCAAGGACUAACGUGGGAAGUGGCUAAUAUUAUUAAAGUUUAUAUCACAUGGGCAAAAUAAUUUUAGAUUACACAUAAUAAAAUUAUGAAUCGAAGACGUACUACUACUCCAAGGAACUCUCUUCCGGAUAAUCAUAUUUAUUUGCAUACAAAUUAAGCUAUUAAUUUGAGUACAGGUUAUGCAUUUGCAGAUACGGAAUCAUCAAGGGAAUUGGAUUUUGGACUUUAACCAAUCUCUGGAGAUGUGUUCGGGUUUUGAUGCUAAGCUAUAAGAUAUUUUCGAUGGGUUUAUUCUUCUACAAGAUCGAGGUUUGAAUAGAAUAUUGAUUCACACUGAUAGCCUUGAGGUUUUUCAUGCAUUGUAAAAGAGUAUUACAACUAGUUCGGGCUCAGCAAUGAUUAGGUGGAUCCAACAUAAGCUACAAAGUUUUGACUGUUGAGAGAUCAGGUGUAACACCUCAAACCCGGCUUAGACAUUGUGGCCAAACUUGAGAGUGUAAUGAAGAAGGGUUUUGAAACCAAUGAUAUUUCGAUAAAACAUCCAAGUUUAAAACAUAUUCAUUUAUAUAAUUAUUAUUGAAACAGUUAUAUGUUAUCCUUUCAGGUUAACCAAAUCAUUUAGCAACGAAAGUUUGAAAAAUCAUUUAAAACAAAACCAUGCUCGUAUUUUUAAAAUUUAACAUUUGUUCACGUGAAAUCUGUGUUUUGUUGAGUCAUCGCAGUUUUAGAAAUCAUAACGCAACUAAACCAAAAUUUUAAACCAAACAGUCCAAAAAGUCGGAAGAGUCCAAAAAUUACAAAACUCUCAUGAAAGCCAGAAAUUUUAGUAAAAACCAUUAAAUAAUAAUGAAAAUAGUUCCCCGUCAAGUGGGUCACCACUAAGCCUCCAUCGUACCAACCUGCCAAUGUCUGUGGAUUACCUAAACAGAACAGACAAAACGAUGUGAGUUUACGAAAACUCAGCAUAACCCAAUAGAAAUAGUCAUGCAACAUACACAAUAUUCCAUAUAUAGUUAGAUACAGAUUCGGAUCUAAGUCCAUAAUAGAUACAGAUAUCAGAAUCAGAUAAAUAGAACAGAUAUACAGAAUCCUACCCCCAUCCUCUAAACACCAGCUCCCGACCAUCCCAUCACACAAUGUGGGGUUAAAAAUACCUACCCAUCCCUACACACCAUAUAGUGUCGAUGCGACACAUCACAGAUAAUAUACAAUCAAGUUGUCAGGUUAUAGGCGAAAGGUCGUCGUACAGAUCACUUCCUCCACAUAUACAAUUCCCAACCCAAACAUAGAUACAAAAUACAAAAUUAACAGAAUUAACAUGCUUGUAUACAAAUAACAUAUAUAUAUACUCAAACAGAAUAGUCAUACAAACAUAUCAGUGUUCUGCUCAAAUCAGACUAUUAGAACAUCAGAUCUCAUGUAUUAGGGUUUAGUUAGCCCUUACCAACCCUACGGUAGGCCCACAGUCGAUGGGAAUGACCCGUACAACCCUAGGGAAAAUUUCAAAAUUCUGGGCCUACAUGCCCGUAUGGCCUGCCUGUGUGGGGCCACACGCCCGUGUUGCCCACAUGCCAAUCUGGCUUAGUUACAUGCUCGUGUCCUGCGCACAGCCACGCCUUCGUCAGACACACGAUCGUGUCUCGCACACGGCCAACCAUAUGGUCGGCCAAACGCCCGUGUGGUGUCAACAGAUUGCAUUUUUGGCUUCGUUGAAGUUCAAUUUUUUAUGUUAAGAGUACACAUCUGGUAUGGUUUUGACGCUACAGCACACCCGAGCCCACCAGAACCUAAAGAUAGCAUUUCAACGACCUAUUAGCAACCAAUUUAUGAUUUCACAAAACUAAACUGAGAAAUGCUCAUAAACUUACCAUCAUAAAAUCGACCACACGCAAUAAACUAAAUUGUUGGAGCGAAAAUCACUGCUUCACCACCUUCUCCUACACAAUAAUCCGUAGAAAUCAGAUUCUCUACAAUCAAUGUUAAGCUAUUACAACGAAAAAGAAUUGAAAAGCUUACCAAAACCGCACGAAGAACAGAAAAGUGAACAAUUAUUGAAGGGAAUGGAAGAAAAAUAAACAAGGAAACAGUGGAGGAACAAAAAGAUGAAAUGAUAGAAAAAUGAAGAGGUAGAAACUGACGUCAAAUUUUGGGAAGAGAGAGAAAAAUUAUAAAAAUAAACUAAAAUAAUAAUAAUAAAUUAAUAUCAUAACUCCCCAUAACAACUACAUCCAACUACUUCAGACUCCCAACUCCACCGAGCCUCUAACAGCCAACCGAAACAAAAAUUAUCACCUACACUCAUGUAGGGAUUCGAAUACAAGACCUCCAACGCACUAACUCCUUACCACUCAAACUAGCAAGCUCAUUCUAAUAUAAUUUUACAAACAAUUUUAUAUAAGCCCACCCACCACGGAUAAUGCUUGAAUAAAAAAUAACAAAAUUUUCGAAAAUGGGACUUAAACCCAAGACCUCAUACACACCCUUAGAACACUUAACUAUUAAAGCAAAUACACAUUUAUAUUAGAUUUCACAAAAAACAGGCUUAAAUUAUUCAAGACGUUACAUCAGGCAUGUUCCAAGGGAAGCCAAUUUAGUCGCAGGUCGGAUUGCCAAGGUUGUGCCUGUGGAGAUAAAGGGAGUUAACAUUUUGGUAUCUGCUCCUACAGAUCUUUUAGUGUUUCUUGGAAGUGACAAAGUUAAUGCUACUUUUGAUUGUUUCAGUGUAGUAUAAUCAUUUAAGUUUUGUUUCUUAUCACAAAAAGAAAAAAAAAGAGUUAAUUGCACCAUACUUUUGCAAAGACUCUGAUUUAAAUUGGUCCUUAAACUUUAAAAUAUUUUAAUUAUAUCUUAAAGUAUCAAUGCUAUAUUAAUUAGGUCUUUUUGUUAUUAAAGUCGUUAAAUGACAUGAAAAUCUUCUAUAGCUAAAUUAAUAAUAAAAAUUUUAAAGAAAUAAAAUGUUGUCACAUAAUUUCUAAAAGAAAAUAAAAAUAAAUUAAAACUAAAAAAACUGAACACUAAAACUUCUACAAAAGCUUCAAAAAUAUCAAAACUAAGAUUUUUAAAAUAUCUAUUUUUACAAUGUUCAUUUAAAAUUUUCAUUUUAAAUCAUGACACAUAAGAUACGAUGUUAAAUUAAUAAUUUUAGUAACGAAAGGAUAUAAUUGAUAUAACCUCGAUAAUUUAAAAAUGUAAUUAAAAUAAUUUAAAGAUUAAAGACUAAUUUAAAAUGAAGGUGUAUAGUUUAAGAAUGUUGGAUGUAAUUAAAAUGAAUACUUUUUAAAUUAAUAUGGAGAAGUUAAUUUAGUGGUAACUGGAAAAAAAAAGCUGCAUGAGAGCUAAUAAGUAAGUUUUCUUUUUUAUUUUAAAUGCGUUUAGUGAAUUGGUGUUAUUUAAUUUAUAUUAUCAGUUUAAUUAAGAAUUUUAUAAAUAAUAUAGACAUGUGUAUCAAUUACUAAAAUUUUUAUUUUUCAUUGUAUGAUAUUUUUAAAGAAAAAAGUGUUUUCUUAAAUGAUGUUGUAACAUAAGAAUAAGAAGAAAUUAUUGAUGUUAAAAUUUGAGCCUUAUGAUCUAUUAAAAUAAAAUUUGGAUCUAACCCAAAACAGUAAUUUUUUUUUUUCAAAUAUGAUAAGCGGAUUAGAUUAGAACUUGCUUGAUGUCAGUAAAUUACUUUUCAAAAUAGUCACGAACUUUAAGUCAAAAUAUGACCACUUAUAAAAUAUAUGUUCCCAUCAUCAUAAUAUGUUUGAUUUUGCCUUUUACCUGGCUAAUUGGAAUAUAUACAUAUAUAUAUCUAUAUAUAUAUGCUAAUUGUCACUAUCUUUUCAAGCAUAUAUUCAGCUGGCCGAUCAAUUAUAGAGGAAUAUAUGUUUUGUUAGCAUCCUCGCUAUUUCAGAAUUAUGUAUUAAAGUGAGAUUUAAUAACUACGAGAUUUAUGAUACACUUUCUACUCAGAAUGUAAAUGAAAAAGAAAAUUAUUUAAUAAAUAUAUUUAUUAAAAAUUCACAUAAAAAUCAGCUGAUAUUUUGAUUAUAAUUGUGAAAUUAAUUGUUUACUAUGCAUGAAUUUAGAGCUGUCUAAGAGUUGGGUUAUCCGUCCGAAUCCAAAGACUUGAUCAAAAUAUGGGAGAAUUUGGACAAGUAAAUAAAAUCCCAAAAAUGUGCUUGGGAAAAUUUAUAGGCUUAUUUUCUACUCAAAUCGGGUUUCAAGUAGAGUUUUUAAAUCGAACUUGGCUCAACUCGAAUACAUAUAUUGAUUCUAUUCCUUUGCCGGGUAUGGAAGAUUUGAAGGUGCACGAUUACCUAGUAAGACUGGGGAUGUCUGUGAUAAUUUGAUGGCAGACACAUUUGUAUGAUCCCGAUAAUUGUGCAGAAAGGUCCGGAUAAAAUGAUUUGGCAUCGGUCUAGUAAGGAUUAUAUUUGGUGAAAUCAGAAUACAAGUUAGCCUCUGAUUUGUAUUCCAAUUCUGUUUGGAAUGAAAGUGAUGGUCCUUGAUUGAAGAUUUGGAAUGGCCAUUUCCCACCGAAGGUCAAGGAUUUUACUUAGAGGUGUCUCAGAAACUUUAUUCCUACCAAGGCAAGGUUAAUUGAUAAAGGUUUAAAUGUGCCUUCGAUUUGUAUCCGAUGUGGAGAGGUGGAAAUGCUUGAUCAUGUUUUUAUUUCUUGUGCGUUCACUCGGGUGUUCUGGCAAUAUUCCGGACUUCCAUAUCCGCAUCUUGAUGUUCUCCAUUUUAUUCGCACUUUGCUUGAGUCAGUUGAUGUUAAUAUAGUUUACCAGGCUCUUACUAUUUUGUGAAGCAUUUGGUUCCAUCGUAACUUGUGAUUUUGGAAGGGUGAGGUGUUUUCCUCGUAGUGUGUUGUCGAUUUUGCUGACAAUUUUCAUUGGCAAAGGUUGGAGGCUCAGUCUGUUUUGGUAUAACUCUACCAUUAGAGCAUCCGACUACCUCCACGGCUCAUUGGUGGAAGCGACCUGCUGUUGGUAUCUUAAAAUGCAAUGUUGAUGGAGCUUUAUUUCAAGAUGAGCAUUAUUCCAGCUUUGCGGCAAUCGUUCGGGAUCAAACUAGUGCUGUUAUUAAAGGUUUGGUUGUUGGGACCCCGCAUUAUUGAUAUUUUUGCUAUUCGAGAAGCAUUAUCUUGGCUUUGCGCUAAUAGAUUUUAUCAUGUUGUGAUCGAGUUAAACUACCAGCCAAAAGUUGAUGUAUCUAAAUUUGGUAUCCUUGUUCAGGAUUAUAUUUAUCUCAGUUUGUUCUUCUUUGAUUUCUCUUGUCUUUAUCUAUCAUAAGUUCGCUAGGGGUUUUAUCUUAUUCAUCUUUUCAUGAUUUCACUGUUCGAUCGGUUUAAUGUUAUCUUUCUUAUUCUUAGUAGUAAUAUUAUUUCAAACACUCAUUUGGAUGAGACGCAUAGGUCUGAGUGUAUGAGGUAAACCUAUUAGCUUGGGUCUUUAGUUGUCUCACUCAUGUGCUGUUCUUGUUUUCCUUCUCUAUUUUAAUAUAGCAAUUUUUUCUUCUAAACAAAUUAUAUAAAACCAACCUAAAUCCAAAUAUUAUUUAUUUCAAAAUCUAAACCCAUCCUUAAAAAUAAAUAAAUAAAUAAACCAAACUUCUGUUGACAAAGCGUUAAAUAAGUCAAUGAAUUGAAAAUCAAUACUUUCAGCAGCUUUAUUUUUUAAAAAUAUUUAAUAACUCACAACGAAAUUAAUUAGGUAGAAUAUUUUUCCAUAAAAAAGUGUGGAAAAUGAUAAAUAGAUAAGGACUUACUUAUAACUUAAUAGAAAAUUAAUUUAAUUGUUUUCUUUAUUCUAUUUCAUUUAAGAUUAUAUUAUCCUUUAUCAAACAAUUUAAUUAUAAUCGGUUUUUAAUUUUAAGUAAUACACCAAACAAAUUUUAUAAAUUAAAUUUAACAUUCAAUUUUUCAAUACUUAUUUUUACAACAAUUAAAUUGAAUACUUAUUUUACAACAAUUAAUUUUUCGUUAAGUUCCAAUAGUAGUACAUCAACUCUCAACCGAAUAAGACAAAUUAUGGAAUAAUGCUUUACUAAAAAGAAAAUCGUUGAUUGGACUUACUCUAGCAACAGUUCCACUGGCAACAAAAGGAGCUUCAAAUUUCAUCCUACACUUGGCUUGUAUUCAUCUCAUUGCAAGUUUACUGCUAUUCAAAAUUUAUGCAUUGUUUUUCUAAUUUGGAAAUGUCAAAAUCAUAUGCAAUUUUAGUUGAACUUUUAUGAAUUGUUUUUUUUUAAAAAAACAAAAAACUGGAAUGGCAGUAUCUUUAAAUAAUCAUUUUUCUAUAUUUAUUUAUGAAUUAUCAAAAAUAAAUAUUUGUAAUUACAUUACAAUUUGAAAAAAAUUCUAAUUUUAAUUUGGUCAGGCUUGGACAAAAUUUUAAGUCCAUAUUUUAGAUUAGCUUAGAUUUGAGCAAAGAUAAUAUCUAAAAACCCUCUUGUCUAGGUUUGGACCAACCGGGCUCAACCAGCCUAUUAACACCUCUAUACAUGAUGUUUUGGGUUCAAAUAUUAUUAUAAUCAAAUUUUUAUUGAUUUAUUAUAUGUAAAAGAGAUAAAAAAUUCUUAUAAAAAUAUUAAAAAAUAUAUUCUUAUAAAAAUAUAAUCUAAUUCGUCUAUAAGAAAAUAUUUUAAUAAAUUUAAAAUUAAAUUGAUGUUUAAUUUAAUCAUAACACCAACACAUUAAAACACAUAAAAGUAAGUAGGAUAUAAAUUAACUGGGCAGUGUUGAAUGCCUCGUGGUACGGAAAACAUGGCCAAAAAACAGCAUACUAAUCUCUAAGAAUUUUGGAUCCAUUAUUCUAUCCCAUUGAAUUUGGAAUUUCCAACCAAGUUUGUGAUUCUUUAUUCCGUCUCAACUAUGGAUUGAAUAUAUACGGGUCAUCAUCCUCCUAUUUUCGCCUUUUCUUCUAUGACUUCCUUUAUGUCUUUUUCAUGUUUCAAAGGUAGAAUUUAUGCAUGUAUUUGGCCAUUUGCCAAUAAUUGCACUUUCACGAAACUAGUAGUGUAUUGGUGUUGGCAGUAUACUCAAAGUUUUAUUAUUAUUUUGGUAUCCAAUCGCGUUGAAAUUAGGGUAAAUUAUUAAAAUAGUCACUUUUAUUUGCCUCAAGUUACAUUUUAGUUACUUAUGUUACAAAUGUUACGUUUUAGUCACUUAUAUUAUCGUGUUAUAACAUUUUAAUCAUUGAGUUGUUAAUUACCAUUAACGGUGUAACGGUAAGCUGACAUGACAUAUUAAAUCAUCAUUUUAAAUGAAAAUUUUAAGUUAAAAUUUUACAAUUGGUCUCUAUAUUUUUUCAUCUUAAACAAUUUAAUUUUUUCUCUUUUAUGUUCUUUUAACUUUCUUUAUUUUCUUUAUUUUCCUUUCUCUUUUGCUUCUCCCUAUAUUUUCCUCCCUUAUUCAUUUCUUUUAACAUAGUUUUUCUAUGUUUUCCAUUUGUUAAAAUUAGUCCACAAGCUCGCCUCAAUAAAAAAAUUAAAUUGUUCCAAAAAGUAAAAGUAUAGGGACUAGUUUUAACAAAUGAAAAACAUAGAAAAACUAUGUUAAAAGAAAUGGAGAAGGGAAGAAAACAGAGGGAGAAGCAGAAGAGAAUGAAAAAAAAAGAAAGUUAAAAAAACAUAAAAGAAAAAAAUUAAAUUGCUCAAAACAAAAAAUAUGGGGACUGAUUGUAUAAAUUAACCUAAAUUUAUUGUUUAAAAUGAUGAUUUAACGUGUCAUCAGCUUACCAUUACACUGCUAGUAAUAAUUAAUGGCUCAGUAACUAAAAUGUUACAACGCGAUAACGUAAGUGGUUAAAACACAACAUUUCAAACAUAAAUGACUAAAAUGUAACUUGAGGUAAACAAAAGUGACUAUUUUGGUAGUUUACUCUUAAAAUUAUGUUAUAGGCCAGAUUGGAGGACUUCCACUACUACAUUGGAAAACCAAAUGAAUGACCUUGAAAUUAAGAUGCAAUUUGACCCAAUGGACAUUCUUGUUCUGGAGGGACUUCUCUCAAGUUAUAGGGUGUAUAGGAAGGAGGAGCUUGCAUGGCUUCAAAAAACGAGUAAAGAAGAAUUAACAAAAUUUAGCAUUUAUAGGUGCAAAAUAUAAAAUUAGUUUUCCAGAAUCAUUUGCCUCUAUACAUGGCAAAGGUUAUGCUAUUGAUAUGGAAUUUUUGGAAUUUUCUUUUAACUCAACAAAAAGAGCCAAGAAUAUCGACGUAUCAAAAACAUCUCAAAAUAACUGCAAACACCUUAACAAAAAAUGUUGGAAAAUAUUGAGUGGAGAACAUAGAUCUGGAGACAAUAUUGAAUUAAAUAGUAGACCUCGAGGCGCAGGUGACACUUUCCAAAGAGAACUGUUUACCUCCACACAAAGUUGCUAGAGGGUUAAGACAAAGGUCCUUCCGGGAUACAACGAAGCUUUUGAAUUUCCUUUGAUUAGCAAAAUCGAGGAAUUCCUUAACUCUUACUCUAAUUUUUGAAAACAAGAUUGAUUGUAAUUGUAUUUUUUAGCACCAUAGACCCUCUAUUUAUAUAAACUUAAUGCAUACUACUUUGAAGACUCACAACCCUUUACAUUUGAUUUCCAUUGGACAUACUUCUUAGAAAAACAUGUCUCAUGGAAUCAAAUGUAUCCUUUGAAUAAAUCAUCACUUUCUAAUAAGUGCUCAUGAAUACUUAUGAAUUUGCACACGAGCUGAUACACAGGCAUGUGAGCCAAGUUAGUAAGUUACACUAAUGAGCACACGGUUGGACAGACAGGCAUGUGGUAUAGCCAUAUGGCUAUGUUUGGAGCCACACGGUCUAGACUCUGUCACACGGCCUGGACGCACGGUCAUGUGACCCCUGUAGGUGAAAUUUUUUAGUUUUCCAGAAAUGUUCUAAUUUGUUCCAAUUUGGUCCCUGAUUGCUUGAAAGCUAUUUUAAGGCCUCGUAGACUCAAUUUAAGGCUCGCAAAUGCAUGAUUUAUUCCAUUUUGAAUUUCUUAUAUAUUUAUUAAAUAAAUUUGAAAAUUAAUUACUAUUGGUUAUAAAAUGUUUCGUUUUCUACAGUAAUACUUUGUAACCCUAUUUCAUCGAUGAAAACGGGUUAUAGAUGUUACAUGUACACCUUAUUGUACGCUUGAGACAUGGUGGAUUCACUAUCACAAUAUACGGAAAUGGCGAAUGUACGUUGUGGCCAUAACUUUAUAUCUAGCAAGAGAUAUCUUAGUCAUUCCACUUCUUUGCCAGUAUCCGCCAAAGCUAUAAAUUCAACAUCCAUAGUUGACUGUGAAAUGCAAGUUUGUUUCUUGGAGACCCAACUAAUGGCUCCACCUUUGAUCGUAAAAAUCCAUCCCGAUGUCAACGUAUUGUCACUUAAAUUUGUAAUACAACUUGCAUCCGGGUAACCUUCUAGUACCGCGGGAUAAUCACUAUAGAAUAAUCCCAAAUUUUUUGUUUUCUUAAGAUAGCCAAAAAUCCAACAAAUUCCUUUCCAAUGAUCGGUACUAGGACAAUUUCUAAAUCUUACCAUUUUGCACACAGCAAAUGCGAUAUCGGGUCUAGUACAAUACGUUGCAUACAUUAGACUUCCAAUUACAUCGGUGUACUCAAGUUGCACUACAACCCUGCCAUUAUUCUCACUUAACUUAAAGUUUGAAUCAUAUGGAGUGUUCGAAUCCUUGAUAUUCAAAUGUUUGAACUUUUCCAAUACUUUCUCGAUGUAGUGAGAUUGGCUUAGUGCAAAGCCUCUUUUAUGCUUUUUCAUCUUUAUAUCUAGAAUUGUAUCUACCUUGUUAAGAUCCUUCAUCUUAAAAUUCAAGGCUAGAUACUCUUUGGUCUCAUAAACAUAUUCCAUGUUCGUCCCAAAAAUUAACAAAUCGUCUACAUAAAGAUAAAUAAUUACACCAUACUUAUCGGUAAAUUUAGUGUAAAUAUAUUUAUCCACACCAUUAUGUAAAAAAACCAUAUGACAAGAUAAUUGAGUCAAAUUUCUCAUGCCAUUGUUUAGGCGUUUGUUUUAAGCUAUAUAAUGACUUGAUCAACUUACACAUCUUAUGUUCAUUUCCAGGAAGCACAAAGCCUUCUAGUUGCUCCAUGUAGACGUCUUCUUCGAGAUCACCAUUCAAACAAGCCAUCUUAACAUCCAUUUGAUGUACAUGUAACUUAUGGAUAAUGUAAGUGCUAUAAGAAUUCAAAUGGAGGUCAUCCUAGCGACUGGUGCAUAGGUGUCAAAAUAAUCUAGGCUUUUCUUUUGCCUAAAUCAUUUAGCUACCAACCUAGCCUUAAAGGUUGGAGCACCCCCUAAUGGAGUAUUCUUCCUCGAUAGGCUUCGAUCCUUGAUGAAGAUCAACUAGAAUCCAAGAAUUGUUUGGUAAUAUUGAAUCAAUUUCAUCAUUGAUCGCCUCUUUCCAAAAUGUCACAUCCCUAAAAGUCAUGGUUUCACCAUAGGAUUGUGGAUCACCAUCCACAUUAAACAUUAUGGUGAUCUUCCUAAUUAUGAAUUCUUUAUUUCCCUCAACAAGAAAUACUAGCGAUUGCGAGGAAAUGGAAUCAGGACCAAAGUCCAUUACUUUUCUCACUCUUUGACUUUUUCUCGGCUUUGUAUCCUUAUUGUCACAAAGACUUCUUUUGGUUUGAUCAUUUGAGAUCAUUGGUUGAUAUUUUUUCUCGAAUCUAUUGAAUCAUCGAAAACCUUAUUUUCAAUGAAUACAACAUCUAUUGUUUCAAUUCCCGUAUUUGACACUAAGUCAAGAACACAAUAAGCCUUAGAGUGUUGGGUAUAUCCAACAAAUGCACCUUUGAAGGCUCUUGGUCUUAACUUUGUUCUCCGUUGGUCAGGAACUUUAUAGUAAGCCAAGUACCCUCACACUUUGAAAUAAUCUAAGUUUGGCAUCCUACCAUUCCAUAACUCAUAUAGAGAUACUUUGAAUUUUCUCGAUGGUAUUCUAUUAAGGAUAUAACACGUAGUCAAUAAUACUACACCCCAUAGAUUAUAUGGAAGUUUAGCAUUUAACAACAUCAAGUUAACUAUAUCUACUAGAGUACGAUUCUUUCUUUCUGUCAAACCAUUUUGUUGCAGAGUAUAAGGAGCAGAACACUCAUGUACCACACCUUGUUCCUCACAAAAUACAUUAAAUUCAUUUGAAAAAUAUUCACCACCUCUAUCAUUACGAAGCACUUUGAUUUUCUUACUAAACAAAUUCUCAACCUCAUUUUUAAAAUGUUUAAACAUAUAAAAAGCCUCGUCUUUACUUUUCAUGAAAUACACAUAAGUAAAUCUAUAGAAGUCAUCUAUAAAAGUGAGAAAUAUCAUUUUCCACCUCUUGUUAGGGUUCCAUUUAAUUCACAAGCAUUUGAAUAGAUUAAAUCUAACACUUGUGAAUUCCUUUCACACUUAUUAGGAAAUCACUUCUUGAUAAUUUUUUGAUUAAAUACAAAUUUCACAUUUAUCCAUAAAAUCAUCAUUACUUAGAUUGAUAUAACUAUUCUUUUGCAUAUAUUGUAAAGUUAUAAAAUUAAAAUGUGCUAAACAUGCAUGCCACACAGGAGAAGACUUAACAAUAUAAGUAGAAGAAUUGACUUUAUUCAUAUUAAUGCUCAACUUGAAAAAACCCUCGUUACAAUAUCCUUUUCAUACAUAUAUAUCACCCUUAAGCAAGACAAACUUAUCAAAUUCCAAGAUAAUCUUGAACCGUUGUUAUAUAGAAGACUCUCAGACACUAAAAUAUUUCUCACAUCGGGAACAUGUAACAAAUUGGUCAAAGUCAAUUUCUUCCCAAAUGUGAAGUUGAGUUCCACUGUACCUUGACCGAGCACCUUAACUGAUUGAUAGUUGCCCAUAAGCACUUCGCAAUUUGCCACUAGUUCAUAACUCUCAAACUGUUGUCGGUCAUUACACACAUCGACAGUAUCUCUAGAGUCAAGCCACCAAUUACAGGACUUAUCGACCAUGGCUAUGUUGAGUUUGGUAAUCAUACCAAUCUCCAAACUCUCGAUUCCUUCCGUAACCAUGGUCACUAAGUCCCUGUCUUCCACCAUAUUGGCUUUGGAAGUUAUGGCAUCAUGCUUAUUUUUGAGAAAUUUUCAAUCCUUAAUAUAGUGUCCUUUCUUAUUGCAAUUAUAACAAAUGCAAUUUUUUUUCCUUGUCUUGCACGUCAUUGGUCUUAGAUGUCGCCUUUCUCUUACCAUUUUGAGAGUUCUUGGACUUGUUCACAUGGUUCACUUUAGAACUUUGGGGAAGAUACACCGCAUCACACUUUUGAGUUUCCUCUUCAAUAACAAAUGCCUAAGUAUUUUCUCCAUAGUGAAGUCCUUUUCCAUAUGCAGAAGUUUCUUCCGAUAAUUCUUCCAAGACAAGACCAACUUUGAAAUAAUAGCGCCGACUUGUAAAAAUUCUAGAAUAACAACAUUCAAGUCACGGAGCCUGCUUACAAGGACUUGACUUGAUCCAUGAUUAGGAUACUAUCGAGCAUUUUGAAUUUGAAAUACUUCAUCAUUAAAAAUUUAUCAGUACCUUGUCAUUCGGUGUUAUAUUUCUCUUCAAGAGCUUUCCAUAUUUUUAUCAGGGAUUGCAUCAACAUGUAGAGAUCAUACAAUCGAUUAGACAAGGUGUUGAGGAUGUGUCAUCGACAUGUGAAAUUGUCUUUUUCGCUCUUUUUCUUGAGUUUAGCCACUUUCGCAAUUUUCUCAGGGUUUACAUUGGGGGCAGGAUCCUCCACAGGUUGUAGGUUUGGAUCCAGAACAUAUGCCACAUUUAAGACAAUAAGAAGCAACAACAUCUUAUCCUUCUAGCAAUUGAAGUUUGAACCAUCAAAUCGGUCAAGUUUCACAAACUCUUGGUUCAUCACUUUGAAUGCGAUGGUAGCCUCUGCUGCCAUCUCCAAAUUAGUUCUCUUUGAUUGUUGGAAAAUAUUGAGUGGAGAAGAUAGAUCCAGAGAUGAUAUUGAAUUAAACAGUAGACUUUGAGGCGCGGGUGACACUUUCCAAAGAGAAUUGUUUACCUCAACACAAAGUUGCUAGAGGGUUAAGACAAAGGUCCUCUUGGAAUAAAAACAAAGCUUUUGAAUUUCCUUUUAUUAGAAAAAUCGAAGAAUUCUAUAACUCUUACUCUAAUUUCUAAAAACAAGAUUGAUUGUAAUUGUAUUUUUGAGGACUAUAACCCUCUAUUUAUAUAUAAUCAAUGAACACUAUUUUAGAGAGUCACAAUCAUUUACAUUUGAUUUCCAUUGGACAUACUUCUUAUAAAAACAUGUCUCAUUGAAUCAAAUGUAUCAUUUGAAUAAAUCAUUACUUUCUAAUAAUUGAUCAUCAAAAAUUAUGAAUUUGCAAUUUACAAUUUCCAACAAAAAAAAUUCUAAUCACUGCAGAAAAAAAAAACUAAUUAGGUUUUACUUAGAGUAAAAAGAAAAUUGAAAGAAUAAAAAAAUGAAAUAUAUAUAAUUAUUUAUUUUCUUUGGAGUACUUGGUAGGAAGGAUGAAAAUUUUGAAAGAAAUAAUUUUCUUCCCAUUAAUUGCUCACUAUAGUUGAAAAGUAAGAAAAUGAAAUAAAACUUUUGAAAAAUGCAUAAUUCGAACUAACAUAUUUGCAAUUCUCAUUUUCUCUUCUCUUAUAAUUCGAAUUUGGAAGGAUAAAUAAAUAAUUAACACAAAUCCCACAAGCCUUUACAUGUUGAGAGUUUCCUACAACCAUAUGAUAAACAAGAGGAGUCAAAUUCGAAAUUCUAUUUUAAAGAGAAGUGAUAUUUAUCCGGACUAUUGCAAAUUAGCGUCAAUGACUGAAAUCAACUUCCUUCUCAUGAGGAGUUUUAUUCAUUACGGCACCUUCACUGACAACAUCCAUCAUAUUUCUUUCCAUAGGUUGGAGUCCUUCAUAAAAACAUUGGAUGACUAAAUGUUUCGAAAUUCUAUGUUAUAGGCAACUAGCACAUAGUUGUUUAGUCGAUUCUCGGAACGAAUGAGAUUUGUAAAGUGUCUAGAAAUACAUGCCAUAUAAAUCUGUGAUAGUGUGAUGUGUAUGAUCCGAUCUAAUCUUUGUUUUACAUAUAGACAGAAAUAAUUUUCAAUCGAGCUAUUUCAUAAAGUGUUGAAAGUGACACUAAGGUGUCUGAGUAAGAAUGUGUUUAUGAUGAGUCGAAACUUGGAAAGGUAUGAAGAAGAGUUCAUGAUAUGGAUGUGAUGAGGUACGAAAUGAAAUAGUCAUAAAUCGAGAAAUAUAAGAAAAGUGAAAUGAAAUGGAAGUUUAUCUUGUGAUGAGCGCAUCUAUGUUUAUGUGACAUUCAUAUGAUAUUAUGUGCCUGACUUGUUUGAUUAAGUAAAUGCUAUAAGUAAACUUACUCAAAAUUCAUGGAAUGUAUGUUUAAGUACACUUGUUUGAAAAGGAUAAUUGAAAAAUUCGGGUAACAUAAUUAUGUAUGUUAAUUUGCUUGAAGUGAAUUAUGUAAUUGUGAGGAUAUGAUGUUGAUGAUAAAUGCUAAGUCAUAUGAGUGUAUUUAUGAGAGUCCAGUUAGAGGCUUUACGACCUCACCCCCUUAUCAAUGUGGUAUUUUAUAACAAAAAUUCACGAUAAUUAUGUUGAAUAGUUCACAAGUGUGAAACUAAAGAGUACAGUAGUGGAAUAAUUAAAAAUGCAGACGGAGUUAAAAAUAGUUUGACAAGUGAACACAGUUUUGAAAAAGAUAUCAAAUUAUUUUAAAGAUUAUUCAAAUUACGUAAUGUCACGGUUAAAGAAUAAGUUAACCUCGGCUAAUCGACUUAUUCAGAUAUGAUGUCUAAAAUAUGUGUUUGCUGAAUUUUUUUUCGAAUUGGUUUUCGUUAGGGAAUGGAAUGAUGCAGGGUUCAUGAUGAUAGAAUUAGUAAGAGAAAUGAUAAUUGAGUAGAAAAGAUGUCUGUGUGUGUGACAGUUAUAGUUGAAACGAAUAUGAUGAUCUUUUUUAGGUAUUAUAUAUAUUCUUUUAUCCUCAAGUGUAUGUGUGUGGUUAUUCAAUUUUUGAUGGAGUUCUUAUGUUGUGAGAAUGCUAGCUAACUAUGAUGUUAGACAAAAGCCCUAUUGGUCUGGUCGGUUUAUGAUAAGUAUUUCUUCAUCUCUUUGGAAUUUUAUUCUAAUAUGUUAGAAUGAAGUCGAUGGUAAAAAAAUAAAUAAAUAAAAAUAAAUAAAAAUAUUCGAGGUUCAAUCGAAUUGUGAUUUUGAGAAGUUAGUAAAAGUGUUUCAUGAGUGUUGAAAGCAACUUCUUCUGAUAAGAUUUUCGGGGAUGAAAAUCCCUAAAGGGGGGAGAGUUGUAACAGUCUAAUUUUCAGUGGUGUCGGAACAGUGAUUCGAGAUCACUAAAUCAGACAAAUGAGUAGGAAAUAUUAUUAAUUUAGUGAGUAUAAGUUAAAUGUGAAGUUAGGAAAAAUUUUGAAGUACUGAAUAGUGUACUAAAAAUAAAUAUUAAAAUAAUUAGAAUCGAAAACGAGGUAUCGAGACCUCGAGAAUUUUAAAUCGAGCCAUAAAUAUUUUUAUAAAUAUUUAUGGAGUGUUAAUAAGUUAGUAUUAAAGUUUCGUCAAGAAAUUUUAAAGUUCUGAUAGUUAAUUGAACAAAAAGGACUAAAUUGUAUUAAAUGCAAAAUUGUGGGAAAUGAUUAAAUAGCUUAAAUGAUAAAAGAAAGAUGGUUUAAAAGGAAAAUAGACCCAAGGUCUCUUUGGGCUGGACGGCAAUGGCAUGAAAUCAGCAAGAAAAUAAGGAGAAUUAAGGGAAAAAUUGGAAAAUUGCAAAAUUUACUUAAUAAAGCUAGGACUAAAGUGGAAUUAUCUAGAUUUCUCUUUAUUUUUUCUGCAUUCUCAUCAGCAAAAACACCAUGGAAGGGUUCCCUUAAGCUUUUGUUUUCAUAUUUUUACUUCAGGUAAGUUCAAUUAUUGAUUAUUUCUUGAAUUUUUUGUGUUUUUGUGACUUUUACAACUAGGUCCACUUGUUAAAUUCAUUAGUUUUUGAUUCUAUGAAAGAAAUUGAAAGUUUCCAUGAAUAUGUGCUAGAAGUAUAUGAUGAUUUGACAUGGAAUUAGAGCUUUAAGUUGUUUAUUUGCUGAUUUUAUUGAAAGAAUUGAAUAGAAAGUGAAUGUUUGGGACCUAAUUGUAAAAGAGUUUGAAGUUAGAGUUUUAUGUAGAAAUUCUGAAAUUAAAUAGUUAUGAAAUAACUUAUAAUGUCUAGGAAAAGUAUUAAUUGAGAAAAUUAUCUUAAUUGAGGGGUUAAUUGAGCAAGGACUGAAUUGUAUGAAUUGUGAACUUUGGGGCAAAAUAGAAAUCAACAUUUUGCACUAAAACUGUUUUGGACAACAGCAGUAGUCUAACUUUGAAAAAUCACCAAAAAUUGUAUAAAUGGAAUUAGAGGAUGAAUAAAAUAUUCAAUUAAAGCUUAUUUAGUCUAGUUUCUUAUAGAAGAAAUGAUGUAAGCAAUGGAAUUGUAAAUCAUGAGAUAUGAUAAAUUUUGUGAGACAAGGUCAGAAUGAUUUCGGGUUCCCUUGUUCUUACUUUGUAAAAUCAUAAAAAAUUUGAUAAAAAUAAUUAUGGGCUUAAAUUUAUAUGUUUAGAAUCCUGAAUGAGUCUAUUUUCAAGAGAAACAAAUGGUAACAUCAUUCGAAAUUAUGAAAUAACAGAACAGGGGAGACUUUAAUGAAUAAACUGUAUUAAUUGGCCCAACCAAAAAUUAUGAAAUUUUUAUGGUAAGAAGAUAUAUGAGUCUAGUUUCAUGGAAAAUUAGAGGAUCUUAAUUUUGAGUUCCGUAGUUCCAGAUAUAAAUAAUUUAGUGACUACGACACGGGUGGAUAGUCUGAAUAUUCACAUAAGUAAUUAGUGAAAAUUAUAGAUAAGGUUACUUACGAGUGUGUUAUUUAUACCAAGGAUGUGGAUGGAGAGGAGGAGGAGGAAAAAUAUAUGAAUGACUCGUGUAUAAAUUAAACACAUGCCCGAUUAUAAUCGAUAAGUGUUGGAUUAGAAAUGAUAUAAUGUUUUAUGUGGAAUAUUUAUUAUGAAAUUAUGAUUAUCGUUAUAAUACAAAAUUUGUACUUGUGAGUUUAUAUGGAUAAAUUUUAGUGAUUAUUUGUUAAUUUUAUGAAUUUCAUGAUGUGUUAUUUCAUAUGUAUUAAUGAUAAAAUCGUGAAUGAUGUAAAAGCAUGAAAAUUGAAUAAAUGAUCAAAUUGAGCAUUUUAGUUCAGUGACAAGAUGAAUUGAAGGAAAAGACCAUAGUUGGACCAUGGCAACAAGUGAUAAGUGAUAGCUUCGGCUACACUUAUCUGAUCAAGGAUAAGUGGAAGUGAUAAGUAAUAGCUUCAGCUACACUUAUCUGAUCAAGGAUAAGUGAAAGUAAUAAGUAAUAGCUUCGGCUACACUUAUCUGAUCAAGGAUAAGUGAAAGUGAUAAGUAAUAGCUUCGGCUAUACUUAUCUGAUCAAGGACAAAUGACAAGUGAAAAGUGGUAGCUUCGGCUACCUGAUCAGUGAAAAGUGGUAGCUUCGGCUACCUGAUCAGUGAAAAGUGGUAGCUUCUGCUACCUGAUAAGUGAAAAGUGGUAGCUUCUGCUACCUGAUCAGUGAAAAAUGGUAGCUCCGACUACCUGAUCAAUGAAAAAUGGUAGCUCUGGCUACCUGAUCAGUGAAUAGUGGUAGCUUCGGCUACAAGUGACAAGUGAUUUCCGUAUAAGACCAUAUCUGGGAUAUGGCAUCAGUGAGAUAUGUGAUUCGUGUAAGACCAUAGCUGGGCUAUGGCAUCGAUAUGUGAUAUGUGAUUACGUGUAAGACUAUAGCUGGGCUAUGACAUCGAUAUAUGAAGAUGUGUAAGACCAUAGUUGAACUAUGACAUUGAGUACUCAAUUCCGUAAGACGUUCACUAAUUUGACAAAGUUUGGUAAGUGUUACAUGGAAUUAUGUGAUACAGGAAGUACGAAUUGAUAAGAUAUGAGUAUAGAACUUGGUUGAUAAAUGAAUUCAUUUGUGAUUAUAUAAUUGUUCAUCUUGAAUGUAUUGUCCAUAUGUAUUGAUAAUUCAAACGUAUUAAUGAAUAAAGUUCCGACAUUAAAUAAAUUGAACACGAGACAAAUAAUUAUAAAAUUGAACUCGGAAUUCAUGAAAAUGAUGAUUAUUGAUAUAUAGAGACAUGAGACAUUGGUAUAUGAAUAUGGAAAAUAUUUGAUAAAUGUGUUUAUUCAUAAUUAUGGAAUUAUAUACCUCAUGUGUACUAUUUGCAUAAAGAUGAUAUUUCAAAUACUUUGGUUAUUUAAGCUUAAAUAUGAAACAGUAUGAAAUCAAGAUAAGUUGUUAUAAAAAUAUAUUUAGAUUACAGAGAUAUGGCUGAUAUAUGUUGUAUGAUUACAUAACGUGAAAUUGUGUAUAUAUAUGAGAAAUUUAAUGAGAAAUGAGCCCAUACACGUUUCUUGUUAUUUAUAUGAAGUGUACGACUGACAAGGGUGAUGAAGUUAUAAACAGAGAGUUACACGGGUUGAAAACACGGGCGUGUGACUCUCUAAAGUGUGAAAAUUUUCUAAAGUGUUGCAAAAGUUUCAUAUGUUUAUGGUUUGGUCCCAAACCACCCUAAAUGUAUGUUUUGGGCCCCAUAGGCCCAUAUAAGGGACGUUAAACAUAUGUAUGAAAGUUUUUAAUUUAGAAGAAAUUUUAUGGCUGAUUUUUACAUGUGAAGACUCUUCAUGUCGUUCUACUUGAUGCCACAACUUUUUUUCUUGAUAGAUGUAACACCUCUAACCCGUAUCUGUCGUUGGAUAAGGGUUACAGAGCAUUACCAUACAACCGAAAACAUUUAAACUUAAUAUCAUUCAAUAAUAUAAUCACAUCAUAAAUCAAUUAUAUAAAUACAUACCGUCCUUAAAUCGAGCCAUCGAGGCCCUAAAAAACAUCUUAGAAGUAAAUUGAGACUAAUUUAAAAAAUUUGGAAAGCUUAGGAAAAACAUGUAAAAUUUGCAAAACAGGGGUCAUACACCCAUGUGCCAAGCCGUGUAACUCACUGAUUUGCACCUUAAAGAAAUCAUCAAAUGACACAUGGCCAUGUCGUUAGGCUGUGUGUCUCACACGGUUGAGUCACACAUCCGUAUGGACCCAAAUUUACCUCAAAUCAAGCCAUUUCAAAACCAUCUCAUGCUUUAACAUUUAGACCAAUUUUGUACACUUUCAAAGCACCAAAAGUUCACCUAAACACACAUACAUUUGCCACUUCCAAAAUCUUAAUUCAACUAACCAAUAUCCCAAUCAAGGUACCACAAUUAAUAUCAAAAUAUCACCUACCUGGACAUGUUCAUAUGCCUAAUUCUAUGCAGACAAUUCUAGACCAUUUAAGUAUUAAAAUAUACCUCAUUUAGCCAUUCCCAAAACAUACAAAACAUACCAUAAAAAACCAUUAUCAAGCAAUAAAAACUUACCAAAAGAACCUUAUAUACAUGCACUUAUAAGUGACCAAAAUGACUUACUUAGGCAAGCAUUAUAAGUUCAUCAACAAACCAUAAGCAUCAAAGCACAAACAUACCAAGUUACCAUUUUACAUGUUUAUCAAAAACGCCAUUAUAAACCAUCCUAUACAUGUUACCCUAUACAUGCCAUUAUAAACCUUAACCAAAUUACUAAAAAACUACCGAAUUGUCCACUGGAUAGUGUGAUAGAUCUCUGACAAGCUUCCAAACUGAUCGAGUUUCUGACAAUCUAUAAAACAAAAGAAAAUGAUUACGUAAGCAAUGAAUGCUUAGUAAGCUCGUAUGAACUUAGAACAUAACUUACCAUUUCAAUAAUGAAAUUUAUAGAAUAAGUACAAACCGUUACCAAUGCCAUAAGGUUAGUAAAAGCCUAUAUAACAUUAUCAAUCUCACAAGUUACUAUAUUUGUUCAUAAUUCACAUGAAAUCAAUCACGUAUAAUAUAACAUUUAAUUAAUCAUCCUUACUAUAUGAUCAUGUUUCAUUCCAUUUACUUACUUAUUGUUUCCAAUACCAUGAGUUUAAUAUAAGCUUAUUCAAGCAUCAUCAUGCUUACAUAUUAGUAGAUUCAUUGAUAAUCUUUUAAACUCAUUUAUAACAUAAAUAGAUUUCAUAAGAUACAUUACAUAAGCAUAAACCUUUUCAUACCGUUAUGAACCUUUCCAUUAAGUCACCUAUCGUUUCAUUCCUUUUCUUACCCGUUGAACCAUAUAGAAUUACAUAUACUCGGGAAAGCUCACACGAAGUGUACCUUUACAUAUAAUCAUAAUCUUUCCUUUACAUCAAUUCUCACACGAGUUGUGGAAUGGGCAUGCUCACACAAGCUGUGGGUCAGAAUAUAAGUUAUACGAUGUUGCUCACAUGAGUUAUGGAGAAUCCACAACAAAUGUAGGAUCCCAAUUAUCGGUAGGACAUUCAAGACCAACACCUGAAACAUGAAAUCCCUAAUGACAUGUCAUUUGUAUCCUAAGAAUUCUUAAGGUUCAACCGAGACUCGAUAUCCAUCAAUUCGUCAUAAUAUGGAUACGUUCACAUAUAUAUUGAUUCAUUUUCAUUAAAUACAACAUAGUAAACAUUUAAUUAAAUUAAUAUUAUAAUGAUUACAGUUCAUACAAACUUACCUAACUAAAUUGCAGCAAUGACUAAGUACAGGGGCUAUUUGGUAAUUUUCUCUUCUCCUCGAUUUUUCACUCAUUCUUGAUCUAAAAUAAUAGUUCCAUUCAAUUCACUAAUUCUAACAAAAAAAUCAAAUUCAUUUUUAUGCAAUUAAUUCAUUUUUGAUAUUUUACAAAAUUUCCCCAAAAUUUAUCCUUUUUGCAAUUUACUCUCUAAACCUGAAACUUGCAAUUUCAUUAUUUUUAAUAUAAAUCACGCUAGCCAAUUUUUACCCAAUCUUAUAACAGCCCAUAUUUAUUCAAAAUUUACAAUAUUUUCCUUGAAUUUUACCAUUUUCAUAAAUCAAUCCCUAAACUUGAAAAUCAUCAAAAAAUACUUAACAAAAUACUUAUAUUCAACAACCAAGCUUAAUAUCAUAAAAUUCCAAGAACAUCACAAAUUCACCCAUAGUAAAUUUCUGUAUACUUAACAAUUUAACAAAUUAACCCUCAGAUUAACUAGAUUAAGUUAAUACGAUACCAUAAAUAUCAAAUCCAUUAAAACCGGGUAGAAAUUACCUACCAUGCAUGAAGAAAUAGCUUUUUAGCUUGGCUUCCAUGGAGUAUUUGGUUAGACAAAGAAAGAGAUUAAAAAUGAAAAAGAUGAUGAUAGGUUUCAUCUUUUAUUUUAAUUUUACUUAUUUACCAAUUUACCUUAUUAACCUUUUUAAACCAUUUAAAUUUCAAUAAAAUUUAUCCAUAUUUAUCCACUAAUAUAAAAAAGGUAUAUUUACCUUUUAAAACCCUUAGCUUAUGGUUCUUUAGCCAAUUAAUACAAUUAAGCUAAUAGCAAUUGACUUUUGUAUCCUUUACAAUUUAGUCCUUUUUAAUUAAUUAACUAUCUAAACAUUAAAAUUUUUUAACCAAAUUUUAAGACGGCCUUAAUAACAUUCCGUAAAUAUUUUAUUAAAUAUUUAUGGCUCGAUUUAUAGAAACGAGGUCCCGAUACCUCAUUUUUUAAAACUACUUGACUUUAUAGUCAUAUCAGUUGGACCUAAUUAUUCAUUCAAAUAACAUAAUUUUCCAAUUCAAAAUUUAUUUUAAUACUAUAAUUAACUCAUAAAUAUUUAAUAAUAUUUACGAGCUCACUUGUCGAAUUUGUGACCCCAAAACUACUAUUUUUGACACUACUAAAAAAUCAAGCUAUUAAAAUAGAAGUAGCACGUCAAGUAGAAAAGAAUUAUCAAGAAAUAACCUUAUUAUGUCAAUUCAUGUGGUUAUAGAUUCAGGAGGUAAAUAAAAUAGUCAAUUCUUCACCUUGUCGGCUAGCGAAGAGGGUAAGGCUCUUAGUUUGAUUUGCUCUUUGAUCAGUCAUUGCCGUCUCAUAGUAGAACACACUACAUAAAAGCCCUUCAAGCACUUAUGAGGAUCUUCGUUUGUUUGACCAUGAAAAGUAAGCAAUAAAUGAAUUAGUCCAGAUUUUAAUUCAAAAGAUACCUCUAAUUUAGGAUAUUGAUGCACAACUGUUGUUGCUUCAGAUUCUACGUAGCUAACUCUCUCAUUGUUGGUUCUAAACGAGCCAUUGGUUCUUCUCCUUUUUGAUUUGGUAGAUGAAGGCGACUGGUUAAUUCUCUCUUGAACUCCCUUCCUUAGUCUUCGAGCAGUUUUCUCAAUCUCAAAAUUGUAUUAGAGUUCACCUACAUGAGAAGACCAAAAUUUUAAUUAAUAUAUUUUAUGGUUGAGCAAAAAGAAAGACUGAAGCAUAAAAAGGAACAUAAACAAAAUAAAAUUAAAAAUAAUAGAUAGAAAAAAGUAUUAAAAUUAAUCCUCGACAAAAACGCCAAAAUUUGUACAGUUUUCAAGACCUAAAAAAGUAAAAUUCUAUUAAAAAAAUAUAAAUUUAGUACAUAGCAGUGAGUAGAGUCAUAUUUAUAGAGAUCGGUAAUAAUUUUAUUUCUUAAAUAAAAAAAAGGAAAAUAAAUAUGAUGGGGGUUUAGAAAAUAAAAUACUAAAAUUAAAUUUAAAUGUUAACCAAGAAGGUAAUAAUUAAAAUUGAAGAAAACCAACAUGAUGAAGCUCUAGCCAAAUGUAAAAUAUAUCUUUGAUUCACAAGUUUAAUCAUUGAUGCAUAGAUAAUUUUAUUGUUUUUUAAUAAACUAGUUAUAGUUGCUGAUGUCACGCUUAGCAAUCAGUCUCUUUUUUACCUUAUCGAUAACCAAAAGCUCGUUGAAAUUAUUCCCCUUAUCAAUGAACAACCCCAUAAUUUUACCCUUAGAAUUUAGUUUACUGAUAAAAUUACGAACAAGAUAAACUUAAUUUUAACCAACAAACGCACCAAAUAGAGUUUAUUUAAGCUAGAUCGCAUGUGUACACAACAUUGAUUGCAUACGUAAUUAUGGUAUUUUUCACAAGCAUUAGAAUGAAUUAAAUAAUUAUAAAUUUUUUUUAUUGACAAAGUAAAUAUUCUAAGUUAUCAAAUAUGAGUCCUAUAUUUAAAAAAAAACCUAAAUAUUUGUAAUUAAAUUAAAAAAACAUGUGAAUACUAAAGAAGAAAAAAACAUGUAAAUUUUCACAUAGAAACUGUCAGGCUAGGCCAUUUUUAGACACUUUUGGACUUUUUUUGAGUUUGAGUUGUGAAAUAAUUUUAGUUAAAAUUUUCAAUUCCAUAUGAAAUGGUAUAUUAUAAAUUCAAAAUAAAACUUUAUAAUUUAAGUUAUAUGACUAAAAUAUUACAGCAGUAUAAUGAUGAAAGUCUAAACUACAAAAUUUACCAAAAAAGUUGUAAUAUCUUUUUCUCCCAAUAUUUCCAUAAAUCUAUAAUAUAAAAAACAUAAAAUUAAAUAAUAUAAUUAACAACUUAAAUAAUAUAAUUGAAUAGUAUAAUUCAAGAAUAUUACAAAUAAAUUAAUAUUGAUGCACUUAUAGAAACCAAGGCUUCCGCUCAAUCACGAGAGACGCUUUCCCAAGACAAUCUUACCGUAAUCAAAAGGAGGUCAAUCCACAACCGGCUAAGCCUUAACCUAAACCAUGCUGUUCAUCAAGAUUAAAUAUCUCAUCGAAAAAGUCGUCCUGUUGUCUUUUGGGUUGCUAUUAGCUCCAUUGGCCAUGGAUUCUACAAGAAAGUUGUGUUGACAUUGAUGAUUUGGUUUAAGCUAUUGGUACCAGUAUUGUCAAAGCGUCAGGUAGAAUGUAUAACAGAUGGCUUGACCAUUGCUGACUUUUACCAAUCCAGCAUGUUUUAAAACUUGGUGGUAGUUGCUGCUACUGGUUAUGUAUCGAGUUGCUGGGAUACUAGUUAUGUUUCAUUGUGCUAUUGGAAACAUGGUUUGUUGUUGGGAGUUUAUUUGUUGUCAGAUUUUCUAUGUUAUGGUUCCUGGUUUGUUGUUUGAUGAUUCGAUGGAUGGAUGCAGAAGUUGGAGAAACCAUAGAGUAUAAAUUUAGUCAAAAGAUAAAAUAGUAAAGGCCAUUUUGUUUUAUUUUUCCAUAAUAUUAUACAAAUAGUCACCAUGUAUAUAUACAUGGCACUGACAUGAUUGUGAAGGCCUACACACUUUCUAAUGGUUCUACUGGCUAUCAAAUUUUUUUACUAUAAUAGUAAUACAGGUAAUGCAGCAGCAAGUAUCACACUAUUAUUUAAUUUUGAUAGCCUUAAUUACCACCACAGCUUGAUGAAGAAGCAAAGGCAGUUAUGCCUCUAACUCAAAUGAUGCCUUCAUUGUGGGUGAACGACUCACGGGAUCAAUUUCAAUAGAUGCAUUGUAUCCAAACUUUGUAACUUUAAAUUUUGGUUUUCCUCUUUUCUCAAGGUUGGUUUUGAUUUGCCCCCAGUGAACAGGUUGUCUCUGGAUAUCAGUAUAGACCUGCAGCAUGCAUGCAAAUGGCAUGCAAAUGGUCAUAGAUUAAAUGAUUAUAUAUACGCAUUCUAACUAGUUAAUUAAUGAUAAGAUUGAAUUGAAUGCAACAAAUACCUUGCUGUUCUCAUCUAGUGGGUUGCUCCAGGCAACAACCCACUUGGUUCCAUCACGUCGCCUGUACACAAGACCAGCAACUGAACCAUGACUAUCAGCAUCAUCAGUCACUGAUUCAUGUGUAAACUCACUCGAAUCUCCAUCUUCAAUUAUUUCUGGGAAAUCCGCAUAAUGAGAGCCUUGCCAAACUUUCUUGUCAGUCAAGGUUAGAGCUUCGCUGGAAGAGUUCCAAAGCUUGCCGUUUGUGCAUUGUUGAGCUCUUUUCAUUUGAAAAUUAGCCAUGGUAGCUUUGUAUGUGCUUUGGUUAGCUAAAGUUUGUUUUGGUUGUGUUAUGCUUCAAAUAUUGCAAUACACACCUACUUAUAUACUAGUUUACACCAUGCAUGCAUUGUCCAUAACAACAACGUUUAUGCGCAUGAAAUUAUUUGACUUCAUUCACAUUAAAACUUUUUUAUAUUCUUUUUCCCUUUUUUUAUUCAUAUUCUUGAUGUGUCUUUUCACUUUUAAGUACAAAUUCUUUUCAAUUAAAGAAAUAUUUUUAAAGUAUUUGGAUUUUUUUGAUAAAGUAUUAUUUUUUAAAUUAAAUAAUUAACAAUAUAAAGGUAAACUACUUUCAUUAUGAUCUAAACUAUUAGUAAGUUUAUGUUUGGUUAUUCAAUUUAAAAAAAACAAGCUACAAAUUGAAUAUUAAACUAUUCAAAAAGUUUAUUUAAGUCAAUGAGCUAUUAAAGUUGUUGUUGUAUGACCUUCUCUAUUUGCACCACCUGUAUCUAUCAAAAGUUCUCAUUCCCCUUCUCUUCUACAAUUCACUUUUUUCUCAAGAAAUAACUUUUAACCUCGUGAAUCUGCGAACCAAAAUUCAAACAAAUUUUUUCUCCCAUCACUGACAUUGAUAGUCAAAUCAACUUGGAUAUAAAAUAUGUUCUACUACUUGUUAAUGGUUUUUGAUCCACCAUACCGAUCAUUGAAUCAUUGCUUGAAGCUUGCUAGCAGGACUUUAAAAUAAAACUUUAAUAACCUAGUGACUUCAAUAAAAACUUUCAAAUAGUUCAAUGACCAUUUUAUAAUUAUUUAAAAUUGAAUAACUAAAACAUAAAUUUACUAAUAAUUUAAUAUGAAUAAAAUAUAAUUGUUGGGGACUCAAACUAAACUCACAUCACAUAAUUAAAUAAAUAAUUUCAGCGGAUGUAUUACAUAAAAAAAUUAGUACAUAAUAAAAAAAGUCAUCUCAAAAUUAAAAGCUUCAAAAACAUACUUAAAUCUUAAUUAUAUAUUUUUAAGAAUUAUUGAAAUAAUUUUCUUUUACUAACUAGUGUCAGUUUCUAGUACUUACACAACUCCAUGUACAUCAUUAUCCUGGUAACCUAAUAGUCACCAAAGCAUAAGUAUACAUACAACUAGCGUGACUUAAACCCAAGCCACAACUGGAAUGAUGAACACCUUUAACUAUCAAGCUAUUACAUGAGAUUCAUAUUAAAUUUUAAUAUGUUAAUGAUAUGUUUGAAAUAUUUUUUAUAUUGAUACUGUAUUUGUAUUAAUAAUUAAAUAACUUUAAAUGUAAUUUAAUUUUAAUAACAUUAACCAUUUUUCCAUUAAACUUUGAAUCCCUUUGAAAAAAAUAGUGAUUUGUGUAUUAAGCAUAAAUUUUUGUUGGAAAAAAAGGGAAUAAAACUUUGCAUUUGAGAUGCUGAAAGGCUAAGGUAUUAAAGCAAUGAGACUUUUAGUAUGGAGCUGAAUUUUGUUAUAUUAUAAAAUAUGCUUUAAGUUUCAAGACAUUAUUAGUGGAGUUAGAUGUGUUUAGGUGACACUUUCAUGAUUUUGACAAGUUAAUUACUUGUUAUAUGCAAUGUUUUGUUUUUCAGUUGAUCAAUGAAUUAUUUUUCAUCAAAAUUCUUCUUGUUUCUGUUUCAAUCCAAGCUAUAUUUUCUUGUUCUUCUAGCUCGUGUUUCUUAUUUUGUUUAGCAAGUCACUAUUGCUUAAAGCUUAAGACUUUGCUGUAAUUGCUUAGUGAUAACUCUCAACUCCAAUAAUUUGUAUCGGGAGCUGAUUUCUUAGAUGACCUUUCUCUUUUCUACUUUAAAAAACAAUGUUUUCAUCAAGUUUCUCUCCAGCACCACCACCAGUAUUCAAUAGUGAAGCCUACCACAUUUGGGUAGUCAAACUGAAAACCUACCUGCAGGCAUUUGACUUUUGGGAAGCUAUCAAUGCUGAUGUUAAACCACCACCCUUGAGAGCUAACCCAUGGUAGCUCAAAUCAGGCAGCACUUUGAUGACAAAGCCAAGAGGUAUAAGGCAAUGUCAUGCAUCCAAAACAGUGUGUCAGACUUGAUUUUCACAAGGAUCAUGGCCUGUGAGACUCUAAAACAGGCUUGGGACAAGAUUAAAGAAGAGUUUCAAUGCACUGAAAAAACAAGACAACAACAAAUUUUAAACUUAAGAAGGGAUUUUGAAAACCUAAAGAUGAAUGAGUCAGAGAUAGUUAAACAAUACUCAGACAGGAUUAUGGCUAUUGUGAACAGCAUCAGAUUGCUUAGAGACCAAUUCAGUGAAGCCAGAAUAGUAGAGAAGGUUAUUUCAACCUUACCAGAGAGAUAUGAAGCCAAAAUCUCUUCCUUGGAAGACUCAAGAGGUCUGUCAAACAUCUCUUUGACUGAACUAGUCAAUGCCCUCUAUGCUCAAGAACAAAGAAGAGCUAGCAGACAGGAUGAGCAUCAAGAAGGUACCUUUUAAGCCAAGAGCAAACCAACAUCGAGCUCCUUUGGCUAUAAAGGGAAGAAAACUUGGUCAAACAAGCCUAGAAGAGAUGGAGCAAGAAGAAGGUAUCCACAUUGCUCUCUUUGUAAAAGGAUUAGCCAUUCAGAAGCAAACUGCUAGUAUAGACCUGAUGUGCAGUGUAAAAUUUGCAAACAAAUGGGCCAUGUUGAGAAAGUGUGCAAGAACAAAAACUAACAAAAGGAACAUCAAACUCAGCAGCCUAAAACAGAAGCUCAAAUGGGAGAAGAGAGUUGUAGUCAGGAAGAACAAGUAUUUUUUGUCUCUUGCUCAGCUACCAAAAGAAAAGCCACAAAAGGGUGGCUGAUUGAUAGUGGUUGCACAAACCACAUGACACCUGAUGCUGCUAUUUUCAAGAGCAUUGAUAGAAGCUUUAACACUAGAGUAAAAGUGGACAAUGGACAUUACAUUAAAGAAGAAAGCAAGGAGAUGUGCUGAUUGACACUCCUUCAAGUACCAAACUUGUUUCUAAUGUUCUAUUAGUACCUGAAAUUGAUAGAAAUUCUAAGUAUUGCUCAGAUUUUUGAAAAGGGAUACUCUGUAGUAUUCAAAGGCAAAGAGUGCCUGAUUAGUGAUCCAAGUGGAUCCAAUCUCAUGUCAGUAACCAUGACUGAUAGAAGCUUUCUUGUUGAUUGAAACAAGAUUUCAGUUAGUGCCUACACAACUGCAUUAGAUGAAUCCAAACUGUGGCACAAAAGGUUUGGCCAUGUCAAUUAUAAGUCUUUACUGCACUUGUCUAAAGAAGACUUUCUUGAAAAUUUCACAAAAACAGUUUGAAAACAGGAUGUUUGUGAAGUGUGUCAGCUAAGAAAGCAAGCUAGACUACCAUUUCCUACUAAUAAGGCCUAGAGGGCCUCUAAAAAAUUGCAAUUUGUCCACACUGAUAUGUGCGGCCCUAUAAAGACUGAAUCUUUGAAUGGCAGCAAGUAUUUCAUCAUUUUCAUUGAUAACUACUUAAGAUUCUGUUGGGGCUAUUUUCUCAAGUAUAAAUCAGAAGUAGCUUCAGUGUUUUCAAAGUUCAAGGCUAUAACAGAAACUCAGUCAUGGUGCAAGCUUAAGACACCAAGGUCAAACAAUAGGACAGAAUACACCUCAGCAGUGUUUCAGACCUUUUGUGAGGAAUCAGGCAUUGAACACCAACUCACCAACACCUAUACACCUCAGCAGAAUGGUGUUAGUGAGAGAAAGAAUCGAACUCUGAUGGAUAUGGCCAGAUGCUUGUGUUUGAAAGGAAUUUGCCAAAAAGCUUUUGGGCUGAGGUAGUUAGUACUGCAAUAUACCUUCAAAACAGGCUACCAACUAAACCACUGCUUGAAAAAACACCAUUUGAAGCUUGGUUUGGGUUCAAACCAUCAGUUUCUCACUUGAAGGUCUUUGGUUGCAUAUGUUAUGCACAUAUUCCUGUAGUCAAGAGGGACAAAUUGGAAAAGAAGUCUCAGCCUAACAUUCUAGUUGGCUAUAGCAAUGUCAAGAAGGGCUAUGAGAUUCUGGAUCCUACAACUUACAAAGUCUUUUUGAGUAGAGAUGUUGUGUUUGAUGAGAGAUCAAGCUAGAAUUGGGAUAAAAGUGAACCAGAAUGUGCUGGUCAAGACUUGGUGACAGGGCAAACCGAAGCUGAUAAAAAAUGUCCUAAGAUGGACAUAUAUCAUGAGCCUGUUAGGGGAACUAGACCACUAAGUGAAAUAUAUGAGAGGGAAAAUGUAACUAUUAUUGAGCCAAUUUGUUUUGAAGAAGCUCAAGCUCAAGAAGGCUAAAGGCAAUCCAUGCUUGAUGAAACGAGCAUGAUUCACAAAAACCAGACCUUAGAGUUAGUUGCAAGACUAGUUCACAAGAAGGUCAUUGGAGUAAAAUAGGUGUUUCAAGCCAAGCAUAAUACUAAUGGAACUUUGAACAAGCUAAAAGCAAGGUUGGUUGUGAAGGGGUUUUGUCAGAAAUAUGGGAUUGACUACCUUGAAACAUUUGCACCAAUGGCAAGGCUUGAUAUAAUCAGAUUAUUGGUUGCAUUAGCUGCUCAAAGGUAAUGGAAAAUACAUCAACAUGACGUAAAAUCUAUCUUCCUCAAUGGAUUUCUUGAUGAGGAGAUAUAUGUUGAACAACCAGAAGGUUUUAAAGUUGCUGGUGAAGAAGACAAAGUUUACAAGCUAAAAAAGGCCUUCUAUGGCUUAAAAUAGGCACUAAGGGCAUGGUAUGACAGAAUUGACACGUAUCUAGCAAGCUUGGAGUUCGAGAGAAGCAUUAGUGAGCAAACACUAUAUGUAAAAAAGGAAGGUGAUGAAACACAGCUCAUAGUCUCCUUGUAUGUGAAUGACUUACUGGUAAUAGUAGGAAAUAACGCUAUGCUGUCUGAAUUUAAAAGCAAGAUGGAGACUGUGUUUGAAAUGUCAGAUUUGGGUGAAAUGUCCUGCUUCCUUGGCAUGGAAGUGUCUUCGACUCAACAAUGAAUUUUCUUAAGCCAAAAGGCAUUUGCCUUGAAAAUUCUGAAUAAAUUCUCCAUGCAAAAUUGCAAGGCAACUAGCACACCAGUUACUGUUGGAGAAAAAUUAUCAAGCCAAUGUGAUUUCGAGAAAAUGAAUGAAUCAACCUAUAGGAGCCUAGUGGGAUGUUUGCUUUACUUAACAGCCACAAGGGCAGGCAUAAUGUAUGCAGUUAGUCUCAUAUCUAGGUUCAUGCACUGUUGCAAUGUGAACUACUUUCAAGCUACAAAGAGAGUCCUCAAGUAUAUUAAAGGCACUCUGAGCUUUGGGAUGAUGUUUACCUAGGUUGACAGCAUGAAGCUCCUUGGUUUUGCUAACAGUGACUAGGCAGGAUUGAUAGAUGACAUGAAAAGCACCUUAGGGUAUCUGUUUACCCUUAGUUCAGCUGUUUUCUAUUGGAGAUCAAAGAAACAGUACAUUGUAGCUCAAUCAAUAGCUGAAGCAGAAUAUGUAACAGCUGCAGAGUAAUUUGGUUAAGGAAGAUCAUGGUAGAUAUAAACUUGCAUCAAAGAGAAGCAACAUAGAUCAAAUGUGACAACCAAUCUGCUGUUGCAAUUGCAAAGAAUCCAGUGUUUCAUGGGAAAACAAAGCAUUUUAAGAUCAAGUUGCAUUUUGUUAGGGAAAUGGAACAAUCUCAAGAAAUCAGACUGGUUUAUUGCAGUUCUGAAGAUCAGUUAGCAGAUUUCUUGACAAAGCAUCUUUGUGUGUCAAGGUUCAAGAAUUUGAGAGCCAAGUUGGGAGUUUGCAGCAUGGAAGCCAAGGAGGACUAUUAGAGGUUGGCUUACAUGCAGCUCUUGAGAUCGGGCCAUGCAAUUAGCAGCUAAAGCACAUGCAGCUGUCAUUUUGAUGUUUUUGAUGAUGUCUUGUUUUAGUUACAAUUGAACUAAGUUUGUAAUGAAUUUGUUGUAAUUUGGUGCUGAUAGAUUUGAUAAAUCAACUUAACCAAGCGUGCAAGCAAUGUUUUAUAAGUUUCAAGACAUUGUUAGUAGAGUUAGGUGUGUUUAGGUGACACUUUCAUGAUUUUGACAAAUUAAUUACUUGUUAUAUGUAAUGUUUGGUGUUUCAGUUGAUCAAUGAAUCACUUUUUAUCAAAAUUCUUGUUUCUGCUUUAAUCCAAGCUAUCUUUUCUUGUUCUUCUAGCCCGUGUUUCUUCUUUUGUUCAGCAAGUCACUAUUGCUUAAAGCUUAAGACUUUGCUGUAAUUGCUUAGUGAUAAGUCUCAAGUCCAACACAUGGUUUGUUGGUGGGAGUUUAUUUGUUGUCAGGUUUUCUAUGUUAUGGUUCCUGGUUUGUUGUUUGAUGAUUCGAUGGAUGGACGCAGAAGUUGGAGAAAAGAUAGAGUAUAAAUUGAGACAAAAGAUAAAAUAGUAAAGGCCAUUCUGUUUUAUUUUUCCAUAAUAUUAUACAAACAGUCAACCAUGUAUAUACACAUAGCACUGACAUGAUUGUGAAGGCCUACACACUUUCUAAUGGUUGUACUGGCUAUCAAAAUUUAUUACCAUAACAGUAGUAAAGGUAAUGCAGCAGCAGGCAGCACAUUAUUAUUUAAUUUUGAUAGCCUUAGUUACCAGCAUAGCUUGAUGAAGAAGCAAAGGCAGUUAUGCCUCUAACUCAAAUGAUGCCUUCAUUGUGGGUGAACGACUCACGGGAUCAAUUUCAAUAGAUGCAAUGUACCCAAACUUUGUAACUUUAAAUUUUGGUUUUCCUCUUUUCUCAAGGUUGGUUUUGAUUUGCCCCCAGUGAAUAGGUUGCCUUUGGAUAUCAGUAUAGACCUGCAGCAUGCACGCAAAUGGCAUGCAAAUGGUCAUAGAUUAAAUGAUUAUAUAUACGCAUUCUAACUAGUUAAUUAAUGAUAAGAUUGAAUUGAAUGCAACAAAUACCUUGCUGUUCUCAUCUAGUGGGUUGCUCCAGGCAACAACCCACUUGGUUCCAUCACGUCGCCUGUACACAAGACCAGCAACUGAACCAUGACUAUCAGCAUCAUCAGUCACUGAUUCAUGUGUAAACUCACUCGAAUCUCCAUCUUCAAUUAUUUCUGGGAAAUCCGCAUAAUGAGAGCCUUGCCAAACUUUCUUGUCAGUCAAGGUUAGAGCUUCGCUGGAAGAGUUCCAAAGCUUGCCGUUUGUGCAUUGUUGAGCUCUUUUCAUUUGAAAAUUAGCCAUGGUAGCUUUGUAUGUGCUUUGGUUAGCUAAAGUUUGUUUUGGUUGUGUUAUGCUUCAAAUAUUGCAAUACACACCUACUUAUAUACUAGUUUACACCAUGCAUGCAUUGUCCAUAACAACAACGUUUAUGCGCAUGAAAUUAUUUGACUUCAUUCACAUUAAAACUUUUUUAUAUUCUUUUUCCCUUUUUUUAUUCAUAUUCUUGAUGUGUCUUUUCACUUUUAAGUACAAAUUCUUGUCAAUUAAAGAAAUAUUUUUAAAGUAUUUGGAUUUUUUUGAUAAAGUAUUAUUUUUUAAAUUAAAUAAUUAACAAUAUAAAGGUAAACUACUUCCAUUAUGAUCUAAACUAUUAGUAAGUUUAUGUUUUGGUUACUCAAUUUAAAAAAACAAACUACAAAUUGAAUAUUAAACUAUUCAAAAAUUUUAUUUAAGUCACUGAGCUAUUAAAGUUAUUGUUGUAUGGCCUUCUCUAUUUGCACCACCUGUAUCUAUCAAAAGUUCUCAUUCCCCUUCUCUUCUACAAUUCACUUUCUUCUCAAGAAAUAACUUUUAACCUCGUGAAUCUGCGAACCAAAAUUCAAACAAAUUUUUUCUCCCAUCACUGACAUUGAUAGUCAAAUCAACUUGGAUCUAAAAUAUGUUCUACUACUUGUCAAUGGUUUUUGAUCCACCAUACCGAUCAUUAAAUCAUUACUUGAAGCUUGCUAGCAGGACUUUAAAAUAAAACUUUAAUAACCUAGUGACUUCAAUAAAAACUUUCAAAUAGUUCAAUGACCAUUUUAUAAUUAUUUAAAAUUGAAUAAAUAAAAGUUAAAUUUACUAAUAAUUUAAUAUGAAUAAAAUAUAAUUGUUGGGGACUCAAACUAAACUCACAUCACAUAAUUAAAUAAAUAAUUUCAGCGGAUGUAUUACAUAAAAAAAUUAGUACAUAAUAAAAAAAGUCAUCUCAAAAUUAAAAACUUCAAAAAUAUACUUAAAUCUUAAUUAUAUAUUUUUAAGAAUUAUUGAAAUAAUUUUCUUUUACUAACUAGUGUCAGUUGCUAGUACUUACACAACUCCAUGUACAUCAUUAUCCUGGUAACCUAAUAGUCACCAAAGCAUAAGUAUACAUAUAACUAGCGCGACUUAAACUCAAGCUACAAUUGAGAUGAAUACCUUUAACCAUCAAGCUAUUAUAUGAGAUUCAUAUUAAAUUUUAAUAUGUUAAUGAUAUGUUUGAAAUAUUUUUUAUAUUGAUACUGUAUUCAUAUUAAUAAUUAAAUAACUUUAAAUGUAAUUUAAUUUUAAUAACAUCAACCAUUUUUUCAUUAAACUUUGAAUCCCUUUGAAAAAAUAGUGAUUUGUGUAUUAAGCAUAAAUUUUUUGUUGGAAAAAAAGGGAAUAAAUUUUUUGUUGGAAAAAAAGGAAAAAAACUUUGCAUUUGAGAUGCUGAAAGGCUAAGGUAUUAAAGCAAUGAGACUUUUAGUAUGGAAAUGAAUUUUGUUAUAUUAUAAAAUAUGCUUGAAUGGAAAGUUUUGUUUUUAUUUUCAUUAUAACAAACUAAAAUGAAUUAAUAUAUUAACUAAUAAACAUGGCUAUCAAAUUGUUAAUUGAUUGGACCACUAGAGGUUCUUCUGCAUUCUUAUGAUGUGAUUCUGGUGUUUAGCUUUGUCUGAUGUUACUCCUUUGUUAUGUUGGAUCCUUGGAAUUUGCCUCAUGAUUUUUCUCAAACGCAUAAUAAAUUUUACUUAAUUUUUCGUCAAUUUAUAUUAAAAUAGAUAAAUAAAAGUUAAUAUCUGUUAACUUUGCUGAUAUCACACAUACGUGAAUGACGCAUUAACAAUAAAUUAAUAUUUUAAAAUUUCAAAAUUUAAAAUUAUUAAAAAAGUAUAUAAUAUAUUUUUAAUCUUUUAAAAAUUAAUCAAUUGCUAACGUAGUAUACAUGUGGCAGUCCAUGUAGACUGACGUUAACAAAUAAUAUAAGUUCAAAAAAUAAAAUAGACAAAAAUUUAAGUAGAAAUUUAAAAUAAUUUUUUUAUAAAAUUAAAAAGUCAAAUAAAUAAUUAAAAAAAACACGUAGAAACAUACAAGUAACAAUUUCAACAUUGAAGUUAUCUCUACAGAAAAUACGGAUCUGUAUAUUCUUAUUCAACCAUGAAUUCAAUAUAUAAUUUUUAACUUUAAAUAUGAGAUAAUAUUUGAUGCAUUGUUAGUUUUUAAGUUUUAUGUACCAUCAAUUAAUAAUAUGAAACAUCAUUACUGGUAUAAAAUAAAAAGUAUUGAAAGACUUGAAAAUAAAUACAUUUAAUUUUAUUUUUUUAUUUAAACAUAAUUAAAUAUUAGCUAUAAUUUUUAUUGAUCUUUCGGAUUUUAGAUUCCAAUUUCUUUUGGGUUUUUAUUGGAAAAUAUGGACAUCACAUACAUAAUAAGGAUAAUUGAUAGGUUAGCCUAAAUUAAAACUGAUCUAAUUUGGUUAGAAUUUUAUUGGGUUUUAAUUAUUAAAUAAAGUAUGGGUUAAAUAUGUGUAGAUACUCUAGUAAUUGAGUUCUAAUCAACUUCUAAUUAGAAUUUGAUUAGAAUUAAUAUGCCAAGGUCAUAAAUAUUAGGGUUAUGGUUCCCAAAUUAUACACAAUAUAUCUUUUCUAAUAUCUCAUCAUUAGGAAAGAGAGAGUAGAUAUUUUCUGAAUUUCUUGUGGAUCAAAUCCUCAAGAUAUGGUAAAAAUUUAAGGAAUUCAUGGAUUCAAGUAUGCUUCCGCAUGUAGUUUUGUUCUUGAUUUAUUCUUGAUGAUUUGACAUGAUAGAUCCUGGUUUAUUCAGUUUUAUUUUAGAUUUAUUUUAUAAAUCUAAUAAGUGGCAUCCGAGCCUCGUCAUGUUGACUCAUUAAGAACGAAUUAAUUCUCUAUUUUUUUUGAUUCAUUUAUUUUUUAGAUUUUAUGAAUUUAUUAUCUCAAUUAUAAACAUUAAAUCUUUUAAAUUUAUAUUAAAUAUUUUAGGGUUUGAAAUAGAAAUUGGGCAAGUGAUAAUGCUUAUGAGGAUUUAUGUUGAAAUUUUAGGGUUUUAAAUUUUUUUUAUGAAUUUGGUUUUUGAGGAAAUUGUUGUGUGAAUCAAAUUAUAGUUUAUUUAUAUUUUUAGAUUAAAGUUUUGUUAAAAGUUGAUAUUGAUGCUUGCGUUUCAUUACGAAAUCAGACACAUUGAUUUUUCUUUAAUAAUUAUGCAUCUAUUUAAAAUAUAUAUAUAGAAAUUGAUAUAUGUUUCGUUUAUAUAUAUAUAUAUAAUAUGCAUGCUUUAAUUGGUUUAAUGCAUGUUGUUUUGGAAAAUUAUAUAAAUAUAUAUGAUUAUCUUUUAAUUUGAUUGAAAGAUGAAAUUAAGGUAAAUACUUUGAAACAAAUAAAUUCAGAUUUUAGCUUUUAAUUAAGGAUGUCUACUAUUUUAAAUAAAUUAGUUGAAAUAAAAUGCCACCAAAAUGACAUCUUUUGUGUAGAUUAGUUUAUUUGAAAUAUUAAGAUGAUUAUAUGUUUUUAUGAUUCAUGCGUUUAUUGAUUGACCCAAAGUUAAAUUAAUAUUUGACAGAAUUUCAACGACAUAUGUGGUGAUAAAUGUGUGACAAUUUUAAGGUAUUUUAUGUGAGCAAUAAGUUAGUCCAAAGAUUAAUUCACGGUUUGACAUAAUUUAUUGUCAAUGUUUGAUUGCUACAACAAGAGUACCGCUUACUGUUAAUAUUACUGUCCAAAGCUUUGAUAUUAAUGUUGUGUUUGGUAUCUUGUGAUGGGAUUAGUCAUUAUCUUGAAUUUAUUAUUUACUUAUGAAUAUUGAUUUAAGCUUGUUUUUGUUCUAUAUUUAGCUAAUUCAUCUUCUACUGCCACAAUAUCUGCUAAUAUAAAUUCUAUACCUAUGCUUAAUAGGACUAAUUUUAAGGAAUGAAAAAGGAACUUACUUAAAGUGCUUGGUUGUAUAGACAUAGACCUUACACUAAGGGAAGAACAAUCUGCACCUCUCACUGUGGAAAGCACCCCUGGUGUUAAGAGGGAUUUUGAGAGGUGGGAUCGUUCAAAUCGCAAGAGUCUAAUGAUCAUGAAACACAGCAUUUUAGAAGCUUUUAAGGGCACAUAAUCUGAAAGAUUACUCAGGCCAAGGGUUUCAUUGAUGAAAUUGAAAAAUCUUUUGCUAAAAAUGAUAAGAUUUAGAUGACAUCACUUCUGACUUCUUUGAUGUUUAUGAAGUAUAAAGGUCAAGGAAACGUAAGGGAGUACAUUAUGAAGAUGUUCCAUACUGCUUCAAGACUUAAGACACUUAAGAUCAAACUUUCUGAGGAAUUGUUUUUUCUUAUGGUUUUGGUAUCGCUUCCUGCCCAGUUUAAUCAAUUUAAAAUUAGUUAUAACUGUCAAAAGGAGAAAUGGAUCCUAAAUGAGUUCAUUUCUCAUUGUGUGCAAGAGGAAGAAAGGUUGAAGGAUGAUAAGUCUAAAAGUGUUCAUUUGGCCAAUGCCCCUAAAGAUAAGGGCAAUAAAAGAAAAUAUCAGAAUAAAGCUGCUAAAGGUCUAGCUCAAAAGAAACAACAAGAAGCUAUAGAGAGUUGUUUCUUUUGUAACAAGUCUGGACACGUAAAGAAAGAUUGUACCAAAUAUCAUGCUUGGCAUGCAAAAAAAGGUAUAAUUCUUAAUUUGGUCUAUACUGAGAUUAAUUUAGCUUUAAUACCUAGAAACACUUGGUGGAUAGAUUCUAGUGCUACUACUCACAUAAGUUUUUCUAUGUAGGGUUGCCUAAGUUACUGAAAGCCAAGUGAUGGUGAAAGACACAUCUUUGUGGGCGAUGGAAAAUCAGUAGAAGUGGAAGUGAUUGGGAAUUUUAGGUUGUUACUAGGAACUGGUUUUUAUUUGGAUUUAAAAGACACUUUUAUUGUACCGUCAUUUAGACAGAAUUUAGUUUCUAUUUCUUCGUUGGACAAAUUUGGAUAUUAUUGUUCAUUCAAAAACAAUCAAUUAAUUUGUCUUUAAAUUCAAAUGUUAUUGGAACUAGUUAUUUAAAUACUUAUGACAACCUUUAUUUUCUAGAAACAGUUGCAUCCUAGAAUGAAACCUUGCAUGUGGAAUCACAUGGUAUUAAACACAAAUUAAAUAAGGAAAACUCAUCAUCAUUAUGGCAUAGGUGCUUAGGUCAUAUCUCAAAAGUUAGAUUUGGAUACCUUGUGUUUGAUGGAAUUUUAGAGUCCCUUGACUUCACAGACUUUGAUGUAUGUGUUGAUUGCAUUAAGGGAAAAUAGACCAAAACCAAGAGAUUAGGUGCCAACAGAUCUUCAGACGUCUUAGAAUUAAUUUAUACAGAUAUUUGUGGGUCAUUCCCUAUGGCAUCCUAGAAUGGUCAAUAAUAUUUCAUAACAUUGAUAGACGAUUAACCACGUUAUGGGUACCUAUAUCUCAUUCAUGAGAAAUCUUAGUCUUUGGACAUGUUCAAAGCUUAUAAAGCUAAAAUUGAGAAUCAACUCAAAAAAAGGACUAAAAAUGUCAGAUUAAAUCGUGGUGGUGAGUACUACGGUAGAUAUGAUGGCUUAGGAGAACAAUGUCUAGGACCAUUUGCGAAAUUCCUAGAGAAAUGCAGUAUUGUCCCACAGUACACCAUGCUAGGAUCAUCUAGUAUGCCUGGUGUAGCUGAAAGAUGAAACAUGACUCUUAAGGAUAUGGUAAAGAGCAUGAUUGCUCAUUCUACCUUACCUGAGUCCCUCUGGGGAGAAGCAUUAAAGAUAGCAGCUUACAUUCUAAAUAGAGUACCGAAUAAAGCAGUUGCAAAAACACCUUAUGAGCUUUGGACAGGUCAAAAACCUAGCCUAAAGCACUUUCACACUUUGGGAUGUCUAUCUGAGGCAAGGCCUUAUAGGCUACAUGAAAAGAAAUUGGACUCCAAAACAGUAAGCAACUACUUUAUUGGUUAUUCUGAGCGAUCUAGGGGCUAUAAAUUUUAUGAUCCCAUAAUAAGGAAUAUUUUUGAGAUUGGAACUACAACAUUUUUUGAGGAUGUUGAGUUCGGGGAGAAAUAAGGUUAGAGACAUUGCUUUUGAGGAAGAAUUGGGUUCUAACUCAAUUCCUACUAUCUUUUUUUAUGAUUUUUAGGUUCUUAUACCUAUCAUUGAUCAAGAAGUGAAUCUAGAACCUCUAUAAGACAAUGUUGAACAACUCCUCAUUCAAAAUGAGGUGAUUGUUCCAGAAGAACAAACUCAACAACCUCAAGAACAAGUGUCAUUAAGUAGGUCUACAAGAGAAAGGAGAAAUGUUAUUCCAGAUGAUUAUAUUGUAUUUCUCUAAGAACAUGAGGAUGAUAAUGGAAUGAUGGAAGAUGAUACAAUCAACUUUCAUCAAGCCAUGAAAAGUUCUAAUUCUCAAAAGUGGAUUGAUGCCAUGAAAGAUGAGUAUAAAUCUAUGCAAGACAAUAAAGUUAGGGAACUUGUCCCAUUACUUGAAGGUGCAAAACCAAUUGGUUGUAAAUGGAUAUUUAAAACCAAGAGGGAUACAAACGGUAAUGUGGAGAGGUAUAAGGUGCGUCUUGUAGCUAAACGAUAUACUCAGAAACAAGUUAUUGAUUUUACAGAGACUUUUUCUCUAGUUUCAUCAAAACACUCCUUCAGGAUAAUCAUGGCGCUUGUUGCUCAUUUUGAUCUUUAGUUAUAUCAGAUGGAUGUUAAGACUACGUUUCUUAAUGGCAACAUUGAAAAAAUAAUUUAUAUGGUGCAACCAGAAAAUUUUGAGUCGGAAGAUUCAAAGAAUAUGGUUUACAAAUUGACAAAAUCCAUUUAUGGACUCAAACAAGCUUCCUUUUUAUGGUACCACAAGUUUCAUCAAAUAAUUAUUUCGUUCGAUUUUGAGAUGAAUAUUGCUAAUAAUUGUGUGUAUCACAAAUUCAAUGGGAGUAAGUACAUCUUUCUGGUUCUUUAUGUUGAUGACAUUUUGCUUGCCGCUAAUGAUAUAGGCUUAUUGCACAAAACCAAGAGGUUUUUAUCUAAGCAUUUUGAGAUGAAAGAUCUUAGGGACGCCACUUUUGUUUUAGGAAUUCAAAUACAUCGAGAUCGAUCUUGAGGUAUUCUUGGAUUAUCACAAAAGAUUUAUAUCAAUAAAGUACUCAAAAGGUUUGGCAUGCGGAGUUUUAGACCAAGUGACACCCCUGUUGCUAAAGGAGACAAAUUUAGUCUUACUCAAUGCCCUAAAAGUAACCUUGAAAUUCGGGAAAUGAAAAAGAUUCCCUAUGCAUCAACUAUUAGGAGUUUAAUGUAUGCUCAAGUAUGUACGCGUCCGGACAUUGCAUACAUUUUUGGGAUGUUAGGCAGAUAUUUAAGCAACCCUGGUAUAGACCAUUGGAUAGUAUCCAAAAGGGUUAUGAGAUAUCUUCAGAGAACAAAAUAUUACAUGCUUACUUAUAAGAGAUCAGAUUUUUUGGAGGUUGUAGGGUAUUCUGAUUCUGAUUUUGUCGGGUGCCAAGAUAGUAGGAAAUCUACAUCAGGCUAUAUUUACCUAUUAGCUGAAGGAGCUAUAUCUUGGAAAAGUGUCAAACAGACACUUGUAGCUUCGUCCACUAUGCAGUAGAGUUUGUAGCAUGCUAUGAGGCAUCAAACCAUGGAAUAUGGUUGCGAAACUUUGUCACAGGGAUGCACAUUUUGGAGAAUGUAGAAACAACACUCAAAUUAUUUUAUGACAAUAAGUCAGCAGGGCUGUACAUGAGUUCAUCUAAGUCAAAGCAUAUUAACAAAAGUUUCCAUCUCUUUAUUCAUUUUUAUAGGCUUUACUUUUGUUAGGAUUUGUCUUUCAACAAAAUCAAUUUCAUAUGGUAAUGUUACUUCAUGCUUUUUCCUAUUCCAAAAGGCAUUAGAGAUGUUAGAAUAUAUUGUUGACUCGAUUUCUGUUUUGAUUUGAUUUAUUCUUUUUUGAUCUUUUGUUUUUUCUAAUUGUUCAUUUAAUUUUUUUAAAACAUAUUUCUUCUUUAAGAAUAAAAAAUUAUUCUAUUUAUGAUUAAUUAAAUUAUUGAUUCGUAAUGAAUAAAAAUGUUAAUAAGUUAAGAUUUUUAAUAUUGUGAUUUGUUACUUUGUAAGGUUUGAGUAAAGAUAUAAAGGGGUUCCUAAUAUAAUGUCUUAGGUAAUAUCUUUUAUCAUUAAAAAACAUGUUUGAUGUUUGAUAUCUUUAUUACAAAUUUCUACAUUAGGGAUUUUGAUAUGUGUCUUGAUUUUCCACAUCUAUAACAUUUUAUCGUUUUAUCUUUUUUUUUCGAUUUUUGUUGUUUCUGUUAUUUACUAUAUUUCCUAUACUUUGAUUUUUUUUAUAAUAUUCUGAAAUAUUCUUUCAUAUAUUUUUUCAUUUUAUAGGGAAACAUGUUUUUGAAGAAGAAGGUUCAUUUCUAAUGUCAAAUUGGUGGCAGAAUGAUAGGCAAUGGUAGCAAUUUAAAAAUUCUCAUAGUAGAAACCCCUUGUAGGAAAUAAGAAAAUAAAAUGAUGUUUCCUUAGAGAACCAAUUCUUCUACAAGCUUUACCUCUAACCAAUACCAAGAGUUUGAUCAAACCUCAAACAACAAUGUUAAUGAAUAAGAACAUUAUGAAAAUGUUCACCGAUGUAUACUAUUUUUAAACCCUUCAAAUUUUUAUUUUACACUAGUAAUAAUGUGUCAUUUUAUUAUCACUUGAUGGUACAUAAAAUCUAUGCACCUAUGGUUAGGGGUGAACAAAGCUCGAUUCGAUUUGAAAAAAUUGAAAAAAAAAUCAAAUUUUGAGUAAUUCGAGUUUCGAGUUCGAGUCGAGUUGAAUUUUACAAUUCGAAUAAUAGAUUGGUGUAAAUACCCCUUUAAUCCAUGUCAAUUUUGAAAAUGAGCAAAUUGAUCUCUCUCAACGAAAAAUACAAAAUAACUCAAAAUAAUUUUUAAAAUUCAAAAUAUUUAUAAAAAUUCCAAAAUUUAUAUUUUUAAAAAAUAAAAAUAUUUCUAAAAAAUAUAUAAAGAAAUUUAAAAUUUUAUUUUUUUCUAAAAUAAUAAAUUUAGAGACCUAAAUAAGUUAAUUAAUGAUUCAAGUUUAUAAUUCUAAAGUAUCUUAUUAUUAUUAUUAUUAUUAUUAUUAUUAUUAUUAUUAUUAUUAUUAUUAUGCUUUGAAAAAGUUUUCAAAUAUAUAUAGUUUCAAUUGUAGGUGUUCUAGCAUUAAAUUAAUUAUACUAUAGCAAAAUUUUAAUUUGAUAUAUUUAAUUUUUUAAUUAACUGAACAAUUUCACUUGAUUCGAUUCGACUUGAAUUUCAUUUCACUCAAUUCAAUUUGAAAAAAAUUAAUCAAAUUAGAAUGAUAAAAUAGGAUUUAUCAACUUGAUUAACUUGAAUUUUUUUUACUAGAUUCAAUCGAACGCUAACCCCUACCUACGGUACAUUAAAUAUUCUCCCUAUAUUAUUAUUAUUAUUAUUAUUAUUAUUAUUAUUAUAGUUUUGGCUUUAUUUUAUUUGCACUUUGUAAUGACGUGAGAUAUUUCUAAGAUUACAAAUUAUUAUUAUUAUUAUUAUUAUUAUUAGCCAUAAAAACAUAAAAACUUUAAUUAUAUCAGAAAAUACAAAAAGUUAUGGUAAAAAACUUGACUCAGAAGUACAAGAGAGCCACAACUACCUCACUGUAAAACUAACUUCAAUAUCAGUUCGAAGGGGGAGUAGGAAAUUCAUCCUUGUCAAGAAUGAACACCAAAGAAGUUGGUGGUUGUCAAGUCCAACCUGUAACGCCUUGAAUAGUUUAAAUAUAUUUUUGUGAAAUUUGACAUAAAGGUGUAUUUGCUCAGUAGUUAAGUGUUUUAGGUGUGUGUAUCAGGUCUUGGGUUCAAGUCUCAUAUUUGGGGAAAAAAUUUAUUAUUAUUUAUUCAAGCAUUAUCCCUGUUAGGCAGGCUUAUAAAAUAUUGUUUGUUAAUCUAUAUCAAAAUGAGCCUGCUUGUUUGAGUGGUAAGGACUUAGUGUAUUGGAGGUCUUGUGUUUGAAUCUGUGCGUGAGUGUGAGUGUUAAUUUUUAUUUCUGUUGCCUGAUAGAGGUUCGGUGGAACUGGAACUCUGAGGUUGUUGGAUGAGAAUCUGAUGUCAGUUUUGGUGGGAUUUGUUGUUAGUGGGUUAGUCGGGGGAGUUAGGAUUUUCGUUAAUUUUGAUUUAUUUUACUUUUUUUUUAAAAUUUUUAUCUUUUCCCAAAAACCUCUCCCCUUUUUAAUUUUUUUUGUUUCCCACUAUCAAUUUUCUUUCUUUUUCAUCUUAUCGAUUUCUAUCUUCAUCUCCCUGUUAAAUUACAGUGCUUCGAUUCCCUUUUUUUGUACGUUUGGUAAGUGGUGGUAGUAAGGUUUUUGCUUGAGUUAAGGAGAAUUCUUUUAAAUCCGUUUAAAAAUGAUGUUGUCUUUUUCAUUAGUUCUAAUUUUUGGGUUGUUGGCAGCAGCGAAUCGGCAGGAUCGGAGCUCUCUUCUUGUGGAAUCGUAAUAUCGAGGAUCAUUCGGGAAGUUGGGUAAGUAAUGAACGCUUGGGUCUCGCUGUGAUCAAUUUAUUAUUUUGAUUUAAUUGAGGAUGCAAGACUAAUUUUGGGACGUGCUUUGUCGAUUUUUAGGUUCUUGUGGUCUCAGGAUUGUUUUCACAGCAAAAACAAACCAGGUGUGCACCUUAAACACGAAAAUUGAGGUUCGAAAAAAGCCGAAAAAUUGCACUGUUGACGCCACACGGGUGUGCACCCAGCUGUAUGGUUGGCCAUGUAUAAGACACAGUCGUGUGACUGACGAAGAUGUGGCCGUGCACAUGACACGACCUUGUGUCAGUGUGAGUGUAGUCGUGUGGGCCACACUAGCUAAGUCAGAUUGGGCGUGUGGGUUUAGGGUCAGGCCAUGUAGGCCACAUGAGCAAGGCCAAUCUAGGAGUGUGGGCCUACGUGGGCAGGCCACAUAGGCAUGUAGGCCCAGAAUUUUGAAAUUUUCCCUAGGGUCGCACGGGUCGUUUCGAUUGACUGUGGACCUACUGUAAGGUCGGUAAAGGCUAACCAAACCCUAAUUCAUGUGAUCUGAUAUUUUGAUAAUCUGAUUUGAGUAGGACAUUGAUAUGUAUGUAUGACUGUUCUGUUUGAGUAUAUAUAUAUGUUAUCUGUAUACAAGCAUGUUAGGCAUGUUAAUUCUGCUAAUUUUGAAUUUUGUAUCUGUGUUUGGGGAGAGAUUUGUAUAUGUAGAGGAAGUGAUCUAUAUGGCGACAUUUCGCCUAUAUUCUGGUAGAUCGACUACAUAUUAUCUAUGAUAUGUCGCAUCGACACUAUAUGGUAUGUAGGGAUGGUUGGGUAUUUUUAACCCCAUAUGAUGUGAUGGGAUGGAUGGAGAUGGUGUGUAGAGGAUGGGUGUAACGCCUUGAAUUUUACACCCAAAAGUUUAGAGAUUUGAGCAUAGGGGCAGUGGGGAGACUGCACAUAAAUGAUUAGUUGUGCACUCAAGUGACAAGAAUGGGCCUGUUGGUCUGGUGGUUAAGUGAGUCUUAGCAUACCUUGAAGAUCCGGGUUCGAGUUACGGGAGGCAUUUUUUUUUAGAGUCAUUGUUUUAUUUUUGUUUGUUUUAGUUAAUAAAUAUUUAGCUAUUAUAUUUUGUAAUUGUAUAUUGCUAUUUUUAUUUUUGUUUUGGACGUUCUUCUGUUUCUCUUUUUGGUUUUUGUUUCCCUUGCUUUUCUUUUUGAGGAUUAUUCGGAUUGCUUUUGAAAGUGAAUUGUCUAUGGAUUUUGGGAUUUGCACUCCUCCUUCGACUUCUUCGUCGUUGGGUCCAAUCACAACACAGGUGUGGGAUUCAAAUCUGGUUUACCUUUUCUUAUUAAUUGAUAUUUCAUUUUUUUGAAUUCCUUUCUUUCAGCUUUUCGUAACUAUACAUUAACCCCAUUCAUUUUUGGGUAUUGAGACAUUGUAAGAGAGGGGAAAGCACUAGUAUCUGAUGUACUCUUGGUGUGGUUAAGGUUAGGGACUAUUAUGGUGGCUUAAACGACGGUUUUGGACUAAUUUUGAGUGGUUUCGUGACCUCCCCGAUGACCACAUGGCUGUAUAACUCGGCACACGGCCGUGUGGAUUUAGGAACUAGGGUUUCGGGAUAAAUUGGGUACCAUACGGCCGUGUGGCUGAUUUGGGGAUUUUAUCAGAAUUCACACGAUCGUGUCCCUUCGGCACACGGGCGUGUGAGUUAGAGAAUUAGGGAUUUUGGAUUCGGAGUCAUAUGGAUGUGUGGUUGAUUUGAGGAUUUAAAGAUCCCACACGGGCAUGUGUUUCAGAACACAUGGCUGUGUCUGGUGGGCAUAUGGGCGUGUGAGACCCUCACACAGUAAUGUCUCCCCUGCACUUUAUUUUAGCGAUUUUUGACAAUGUUACAUGACCUGUUCACACGGCCGUGUCUGUAAUAUCCCGAAUUAGGGCCUAAUCGGAAUAGUGGUUUUGUGACCACAAAUCCGAGAUAGAAAUAAUUAUUUUAUAAUUAUUUUGAUGAUUAUGAUAUGAUUGCAUGAUUGUGUGAAAAUUUCGUGAUGAAAUUCUAUGCCUAAAGUGCUUAAAUUGAAAGUAAGGACUAAAUCGAAUAAGUUGCAAAACUUGCAUUCUAGAAGUUUUUUGUAUGAAAUUGUUUUGGAAUAUUAAUGAGGAGGUCUUAAAUAGCAAUUUGACCAAUUUUAAGUUCAUGGAAAAAAUUAGGACAUGGAAGGAAUUUUUGGAAAGUUUAGUAGUAAGGGUAUUUUGGUCAUUUAGUUAUUAAAAUGAAUUAAAAACAAAAUUAAAAGCCAAUUUUUGUCCAUCUUCUUCAUUAGGCCGAAAUUUCAAGGGUUCUCCAUAGCUAGGGUUUGUUUCAAGCUUCCAAGCUCCAUAGUAAGUGAUUCCAAGCCCCGUUUUUAAUGUUCUUUACGUUUUUGGAAUCCCGGUAGCUCGAUUAAGCUUAUGUUAGCAAUAAUUCAACCUAGGGUUUAUAUUUGGAAAAAUACCCAUAGGUGAAAUUUGUGUAUUUUGAUGUUUUAUGAUAGAAUAUGGGGUUUUAAAUUAUGUUAGACAACUUGUACUACUCGAUUUUAAGCAAAAACGAGUAAAAGGGCUUAAUCGGUAAAAAUACCUAAUAGUCACAAGUACAUGUUAGAGUGAGAAUUUGAUGUUGCCAUAGAAGAGAAAAGUGAUCAGCAUGUUGUAAAACAUAAGAAUAAGGAAUAAAGUUUAAUCCCGAGCCUAGGGGCAAAAAUGUAAAUAUGCAAAAGUUUAGGGGAAAAAUUGUAAUUUUGCCAAAAUUUGAGUUAAGGAUUAAUUUGAUAAUGUGGGUAUUAAAUGAGCUAAAUGUGUUAUUUUAGAUCAAGAAAGACGUGGAAUCGACCUCAAUCAAGGAAAAGAAAAGAUUGUGGACUAAAUUGCAAAAUCUUUAUAUUUUGGUACCAAGGUAAGUUCAUGUGUAAAUGUAGUAACAUAAUUGUCAUUUUAACCAAUUUAAUGUUGUUUAUAUGAUAUGAUGCUGAUUAUUAUCAUGAAAUAUUAUGCUUUGUGGUUAUUGUUGAAUAAUAUGUAAUUAUGUGAAUUACUUGAUGAGUAUGAACUAUCACCGAAGUACCGAUUUCGAUAUUCCGUGGAAGACGGCAAAGAUGUGUGAUCGAGGAAAACGCCCGUUUGAACCUUAGGAAUAGAUUAGGAUACAAGUGACAUGUCACUAGGAUGGUUGAGCAUCCAAACUCGUUGAGUUGAGUCCGAGUUCACUUAUGGAUGCGAAUGUCCGAACUCGUUGAGUUGAGUCUGAGUUCGUGAAAUGUAACUAGGCAUCCGAACUCGUUGAGUUGAGUCCGAGUUCACUUAUGGAUGCGAACGCCCGAGCUCGUUGAGUUGAGUCCGAGUUCACUUAUGGGCGGGUUACAUGGUAGCUUGAUUACAUAUGAGGCUCUUAUAUGCAAAUUAUCCAUGUAUCCGAAUUAUAUUCCGAUGUGUUCAACGGGUAAAGUUUUACUCAAAUAGAGGAAUACUCGAGAUGAAAAGAGACGUAUUGGUAAGUGAUGAGAAAUGGAUAUUUUGUACAGGUAUGUAUUUAACCCUCGGGUUGAGUGUUGAUUACAACCACGAUAAGGUAAUAAGAUGAUGGAAAAUGAUUAAAAAAUGUGAUAAGUGUGUUGAUGAUAUAUGCUAAUGUUGAUUAGUUUGAUUGUUUGUUAUGUUAUUUAUUAUUUACAUAUGAACUUACUAAGCAUUUAUGCUUACUCCCUCCUUCUUACUCAUUGUAGUUUUGGACAAGCCAGUUCAGGAGUCGGGAUAGGUUGAAGGCUCAGUCACACUAUCAGGAAGAUUUUUGGUAAAUGGCUUGUAAAUUUAAGUAUGGCAUGUAUAGCAAUAUACUUAUUUUGUGUAAAUGAUCUUAUGAUAUGGUGACAGAAUGGUUGAGAAAAUAUUUGAUAAUGAUAAAUUAUGAAAAUGGUAAGUUUAGAUUAUGUUUGAUGUUAAGGAAAACUAUUAUGAUACUUAGUGCAUAAAAACUCAUAAGAGGGAUGAAAUUUGCCAUAAACAGAAUACUGCAGCAACACUGACCCGAGUUUGAAAAUUUACUAAAAAUCAUAGCAAUUAAAUUUGGUGAUGGACUACAUAUCAAAUUUAAGCUUAUUAUGUCUAGUGUCACAUGAAACAAAUGAAACAGGUAAAGGAAUUAUAUGUUAGAAGAUAUUUGAAUUUUAGUGAAACAGGUUCAUAGCAGUUUCUGAAUCCCCUGCUCCUACUUUAGAAAUUCACCAUAAAUUUUAAAGAUAUAAUUAGGUGGUGUAUUUUAUAUCCUAAGAAUACUUAUUGAGUCUAGUUUUAGGAGAAACAAACCUCAUAGUCAUAUGAAUUUUUUACAUAGAGAAAUGUGGUUCAUAGUAAAUAGAGGUCAGACCAGUCAAGUCCUGAAAUAGGGGUAACUUUAACUAAUAAACUGUACUAAUUGGCCCAUUCAAAAAUUUUAUAAAAAAUUAGUAGAUAGGUAUAUGAGUCUAGAUUUAGGGAAAAUUUACGGAUCUUGAUUUCGAGUUUCGUAACUCGAGAUAUGAUUUUUCUUGUGACUGUGACGCAAGUAGCUUAAAAGCUGUGAAUAUAGAAACAAAUAAUCCAAAGUUCUAAAAAUGUUAAAUUAAGCUUAGUAACACCUCAUACUCGACUCCGGCGACGGUCUCGGGCGUGGGGGCGUUACAGUGUCCCCGCUUCACACAAGCGUGUGCCUCUAUCACACGGGCAUUUGGAUCACCACACGGCCUAGUUUGUCCCACACGACCGGGGCACACUGGCAUGUGGCCCUAUUUUGCUAGAUUUUGGUUUUAGGGCAAAUGUAAGUGCAAUUGGGACCUUGUAUGUUUCAACCCUUAGCUAAGCUUUAGUGAGGGUGUUUAGACUCUAAUCUGAGUUUGGAUAAUGUGUUAUUUGUGAUUGGUUGUGUGACAUGUUUGAUUCUGAACUUGGUUAGCUGGGUGAGUGUGUGAGCAACUAGUUCUAUCUGACUGUCUGACUACGUGUUAUCAAUAUGCGAGGUUAUUUUGUAAUUGAUACUGAACUCAAGUAAUGAGUGUGCACAUUUCUGAUUCUGAUUGACCAUAUAUGAGUGACUGUCUCUGGUUAACUAUCUGGAAAUUGAUAUUUUGAGUUUUGUGCAUCUGUCUGUAUACAUACAUUUGCAUGAAAUUGUUUUGGGUGGGACUUUGAAGAGAAGGAAGAUUGACUAAACUAAACUGUUAGCUAAUCUUUUGGUUAUUAGCCUUAAUACCCAGAGGGUUAUGGGCGGUCCCAAUACCCUGAGGGUCGUGGACAAUUUGACUGUACUGCGGACUACUACAUUAUACAGAACAUGCAUCAGUAUCGCUGCGUAUCAUUGACUGAACUAGAAGUUUUAUUACAACCUAAUAGUAUAGCGGUUUACCGUAUUGCGCUGUACCGCAUGUACGUUAGCUACGCUACGUACAACUAUUUGAUCUGGCAGUUUAUACUGCAUGUCUGUACCGCGGUUUAUCGCAUUGCAUGAUACAGCUUAUACUCUAGCUUUGCUGCAUAAUAUACGUGACUGGCAGUUUAUCUACAUACUGUUAGCCUCAAUACCCAGAGGGUCAUGGGUAGUCACAAUUCCUUGAGGGUCAAGGACAAUCCUGAUGGCCAAUGUUGCCGGAUAACCCGGGAUGACAUCAAUUGGAGUGCAGGGUUGGAUGGUCCUUACGAGGUCCAGAGUUGAGUGAUUGGUGGGAUGAGUUUAAAGCUCUUAUGAGGAGUAAUGAGGGACGAAGAGGUGUGUUGGCUAGAUAGGUGGGUUUCUCAUAACUCAAUUACAUUCAUAUGCAUCAUAUUGACUGCUCGACUGAAAUGUCUGAUUGACGGUUCGAUUGAAAGGCACUUGUGCCUAUGAGAAUUGUGUAGACUUUGACUGUAACUGUCUGACUAGAUAGUUCUUAUCACUGUUGAGAAUUACUGCUACUGUGCCUGAAUGGUACGUGAAACUGUGUGCGUCUGAUUGACUCAUAUGACUGUAAAGUAAUAUGGUGUAUGAUUGAUUUUGGGCGAAUUCGCUCAACUGUCAUCUGUCUGUCUGUAUGUUUUGCUUUUGAACUACUUCUAGUUCCCUAUUUUCGUUUUUGUAGUUUAAUUGGUUUGUUCUCACACUAAGCUUGAGUAGCUCACCCCCUCUUUUUUUUCCCCUUUUAGGUACAGUUUUGGAUUCUGUUGAUGGGAUCAGUACGCGAAGGUCUCAGACAGUCUCAGUGAAAGUGGAAUAUUAGUUUGUGAUUUUCAGUUUUUUUUUAUUCGUACUGUAAGAUUUUAUAAUAUUAUGGUACAAUUACUAUUUUAAACUUUUAUUCGUACAUGUUAUUCUCUUGUGGAUGGAAUUUUAAACAAUUAAACGUUUUGAUUUGUUUUAAGAUAAAAAUUGUCAGAAAUGGAAUUUUGAACGACUUGUUUUUGUAGAAAUCUUCUCAGGAUUGCUUUGGUGAUCAAUGUAGUAUUUCGAAUUCAGUCUUUACUUCUAGGCCGGGUUUGGGGUGUUACAAGGGGGGUAGGAUUCUGAAUAUCCAUUCUGUUUAUCUGAUUCUGAUAUCUGUAUCUAUUAUGGACUUAGGUCCGAAUCUGUAUCUGACUGUAUAUGAAAUAUGGUGUAUGUUACUUGGCUAUUUCUGUUGGGUUACACAGUGAGUUUACGAAAACUCACAUUUUUUUGUCUAUUCUGUUCAGAGGUAAUCUAUAGACUUAAGCGGGUUAGUGCGACAGAGGCUCAACAGUGACCACUUGACUGAGAUUUGUUUUUAUUUAGUAAUAAUGGUUUAUUUUAAAAUCUGGUUUUCUUAAGAGUUUGUAAUUUUUUGGGACUCUCUGGACUGUAUGAUUUUAACUUUUGGAUUUGGAUUUUGUUUUGUAUUUUUUUCCGCAAUGUUGACAAAAACACUAUGCAAACAAAUGGUUUUAACAAAUAGUUUUUAGAAAAACGAGCUUGGUUUUGUUUAAAAUGAUUUUGAAACUUCUACUUUGAAAUAAACAGUUAAUUUUAAAGAACAACUCAAAAUAGUUUUAGUAAUGUAUAUGUAUAAAUGAAUAUGUUAUAAUACCUAGAUGAUUUAACUAAUAACUAAACAUGAUUUUAUCGAAGUAUUUUCAGUUUCAAAACCCUUCAUCGUAACAUUCCUAGAUUCAGCCAUAACGUAUAGGCUGUGUUUGGGGUAUUACAUUUAGUGGUAUCAGAGCUAGGUUACAAAACUCAGGCUGUAAAUUUUGAGUUUCAAAAUUGUAUUUCAAAAAAGAAUUGGUUGAUAAUUUAGAUCAUUUUGAGUAAGUAUAUGGUACACCGAGUCUCCGGCGCCAAUACUCUAAGUAUCUCUAAAUUUAGAAAACACUAAAUUAGUACUUUUUAAAAUUGUACUAAGUUAGUUAGAGACUAAAGCCUCUGAAAUACUUCUGAACUUCUGAUAAAUUAAGUAUAAAAUAUCUGCUAAUAAAUACUGGAACUGAUGCAUAAAAUUCUAUAAUAUAGAUAAAAUUGAAAAUACGAUGAGCGCUCGUGGAACUCACGGUCGUAUUAUUUGUGGUUGUGGUGGGUGUCGUAGGAGGGCUCGAGCUAAGUAUUCUUCUCUGUGUAGUAUGCCAAAUUUAAACACAAGUGAGACACUAGUUUCACUUGCUAUUGAGACUGGGCCUCAAAGCCGCUCGGCGGGGGACGACGCAUUGUCCCAAGCCAUGUUGAGAGUAUUGGAGAGGGUCGUUGGACCCCAUUCUAGAUCUGGGGUUCGUAGGUCGGUAAUUGAAAUACUUCAGUCCAAUGAAGCUAAGUUGUUUAGGGGCGUCACUAGAGUCGCCCCUACUGUGGCUGAGUAUUGGUUAAAGGCCACUGAGAGGAUUAUGAACGACAUUGAAUGCACUCCUAAGAAGAAAUUGAAGGGUGCAAUCUUUUUGCUUCGUGACAAAGCUUAUCAGUGGUAGUUGUCAGUUGAGGAACGUACUCAACCAAAUCAUCUGAACUGGGACUAACUUAAGACUGCUUUCUAAGGAAAAUAUGUGGGUACAAUUUAUGUUGAUGCUCGUAGGCGUGACUUGAGCUUAUGAAUCUCAUGCAAGGUGAUAUGUCUGUGGCCGAGUAUGAGGCCGAGUUUCUAAGAUUGAGCUGCUACGCUCGAGCUAUGAUGGCAUCUGAGUAUGAGAAAUGUGUUUGUUUUAAGGACUGUUUAAGGGAUAGUCUAAGGGUUCUGAUUGCUCCGCUGAGGGAGCGUGAGUUUGUUGUUUUGGUAGAUAAGGCGAAGAUUGCUGAAGAGGUUGAGCACGUGGAGCACCUAAACAGGAAGCGAUAGAGAGGUAAGAACAAGAGGGAUUUGGUGCCCUCUAGUGCUGUUUAGAGGCCUAAAAAGUGGGCUAGACCUGAUUCGCUUGUUAGAUUGAGAGUUCGUGUUGCUCCUACUGGGAUUCAGCCUUGUGGUGAUUGUGAUAGGCCAUCCGAGCACGUGUUGGAAGAGAUUAGGGGCUUGUCUGCGGUGUGGGUCUUUGGAGCAUGGGAUUAGAGAAUGUCCACAUCGUGCUGAUCAGACGCAAGCUUUGGGACUGAGUUUUGAUCAACCUCAGAAGGCAGUACAACAACCACCUAGGGGCCAUAGACCGGCUAGGAGUGGUAAUGGUAUCGGCUGAUGACAGAAAGCACCGGGUAGAGGUGCUAAUCAGAUUGAAAUGAGGCAGCCUGUAUUGGUUUAUGCUGCUUGAUGCCGAGAGGAUAAUGACAUUCCUGAUGUGAUCACGGGUAUGUUUUUAAUUUUUGAUGCUCCAUAUACUGCUUUGAUAAACAUAGGUUCUACGUACUCCAAUGUAGCUAGUACUGUUUCUAGGAACUUGGGGAUUUUUGUUGAGUGCGCUUCUGGUGAUAUUAUUGUACUAAGUCCAUUGGGAUAGUCUAUUCGAGUAAAUAAACUUUAUAGGAAUGUUUCGUUAAAAGUAUAAGAGGCUGCGUUUUCAGAAAAUUUGAUAGAGCUACCAUUUGGGGAGUUCAACUUAAUUCUGGGUAUAGACUAGUUAGUUGAGCACCGAGUUAGGUUCAAUUGUGCGACUAAAAGGGUUGUUCCGAGGACCGGGGAUGAUAAGGAAGUGGUUGUGAUCGAUGAGCAUCGAGAUUACUUGUCUGAUGUGUUCUCCACUUUAGUGGCUGAGAAAUUGGUUUAGAAAGGGUAUGAGGCGUAUUUGGCCUAGUCAGUGUUUCAGUUCUAGGAACUCUUCUGUCAAGGAUAUUAAAACAAUGAAGGAAUUUUUAGAUGUUUUUCCUGAGGCAUUACCAAGUUUACCUCUAAAUUAGGAAGUUGAGUUCGGCAUUGAGCUUCCAUCAGGUACAGCUUCGGUGUCUAUCGCUCCAUACCGUAUGGCACCGAAGGAGCUUACAGAGUUUAAGGCUCAACUUCAAGAGCUUCUAGAUCGUGGUUUCAUCCAUCCUAGUAUGUCUUCGUGGGAGGUAUUGGUUCUGUUUGUAAAGAAAAAUGAUGGUACCAAGAGGAUGUGCAUCGACUACCGGCAGUUGAAUAAACUGGCUGUGAAGAAUAAGUACCCACUUUAGAGGAUUGACAACCUAUUUGAUCAGUUCCGUAAGGCUACGGUAUUCUAAAAAGUAGAGCUUCAUUCUAGGUAUCAUCAGCUUAGGGUUAAGAAAGCUAAUAUUCAUAAGGCAGCUUUUAGGACUCGUUAUGGGCACUACGAGUUUCUAGUUAUGCCCUUCGAUUUGACGAAUGCUCCGGCUACAUUCAUGGAUAUGAUGAACCGAGCUUUUCAGCCGUAUCUGGACCAGUUCUUCGUAAUCUUCAUUGACGAUAUUCUGGUGUACUCUAAGACUAAGGAUGAGCAUGGUGCGCAUCUUAGAGUAGUGCUUCAGAUGCUCCGAGAGAAACAACUCUACGCUAAGUUGAGCAAGUGUGAGUUUUGGUUGCGAGAGGUAACUUUUCUGGGACAUGUGGUUUCUGCUGAGGGGAUUCGAGUUGAUCCUUGAAAGAUUGAGCUUGUGCUUGAUUGGAAGCAGCCUAAGAAUGUUUCUGAUAUCCGUAGUUUUCUGGGUCUUUCGGGUUAUUAUUGGCUGUUUGUUGAAGGGUUUUCACUAAUUACGGCUCCUUUGACUAAGCUUCUGCUCAAGAGUGUUUCUUUCGUUUGAACUGAUAUGCAAAAAUCGAGCUUUGAAAAGCUCAAGUCCGUUUUGACUCAAGAUCCUAUUCUGAUAUAGCCUGAAUUUGGUAGGGAGAUUGUGGUGUACAGUGAUGCGUUGCACAUCGGUUUGGGAUGUGUACUGAUGCAAGAUGGUAAGGUUGUGGCUUAUGCGUCCUGUCAGCUUAAGUCAUAUGAGGGGAAUUAUCUGAUGCAUGAUCUCAAGUUAAUCGCGGUGGUGUUUGUGUUAAAAAUCUAGAGGCACUAUCUGUAUAGUGAGAGGUUUAUUAUCUACACCGAUCACAAGAUCCUCAAGUACCUCCUUACUCAGAAGGAGUUGAAUCUUAGGCAACGUUGAUGGAUUGAGUUGCUCAAAGAUUAUGACUGCACGAUAGAGUAUCAUCCUAGUAAGGCCAAUGUGGUGGUCGAUGCUCUUAGUCAAAGAACGAUGACUGAUUUGAGGGUUAUGUUCGCUCGUCUCAAUUUAUUUGAUGAUAGAGGUCUGUUAGCCGAGUUGCAAGUUAAGCCAACUUGGAUUGAUCAUAUUCGAGUUAAGCAGUUAGGGGAUGAUUCUAUGGUUCUGCGGUUUUGUUAGGUUGAGAGUCAUAGUACUUUUGAUUUUGGACUGAUUAAUGAUAGAGUUUCGUGUUUCUGAAGUCGGGUUUGUGUAUCGAGCAAUUGUGAUUUGAGGCAGUCAAUUUUGAGGGAAGCACAUAGUAGCCCUUAUGAUAUGCAUCCUGGUGGUAAUAAGAUGUAUCGGGAUCUUCGUGAGUUGUACUGGUGGCCGGGAUUGGAACGUGAGGUAACAGAUUUUGUUGGUUGUUGUCUGACAUGCCAGCAAGUUAAGGCUGAACACCAGUUGCCUUCAGGUUUGCUUCAACUUGUUAAGAUUCCCUUGUGGAAAUGAGAAUGAGUGACGAUGGACUUUGUUAGUGGAUUGCCCUUGACAUCCAUUAAGAAUGAUUCUAUUUGGGUCAUCGUGGAUCGAUUAACCAAGUCUGCCCAUUUUAUUCCGAUUUAGACGGACUACUCUCUGCAAAAGUUAGUGAAGCUCUACAUCUCUGAGAUUGUAAGACUGCAUAGGGUUCUGGUUUUGAUAAUUUCUGAUAGGGAUCUUUACUUUACUUCUCAGUUCUGGAGGAAACUGCAUGAGGCUUUAGGUUCAAGAUUGGACUUCAGUACCGCGUUUCAUCCUCAAACCGAUGGUCAAUCUGAGAGAGUGAUUCAGAUACUGGAGGAUAUGCUUCGGAGUUGUGUGAUUGAUUUCCAAGGUAGUUGGGAGGAUUUUCUGCCGUUAGCUGAGUUCGACUAAUGUAACAGUUUCCAGUCUAGCACCCAGAUGGCACCUUACAAGGCUUUGUAUGGUCGUAAGUGUCGUACUUCGCUAUGUUGGACUGAAUUGGGUGAGCAACGAAUUUUGGGUCCUGAGUUGGUUUUCGAGACUAAAGAUAAGGCUAGACGAAUUCAGGAUCGUCUGAAGGCGGCUUCUGAUAGACAGAAAUCCUAAGCGGAUCUGAAAAGAAGGGAUAUCCUCUAGUCACAAUCAAACCUUCUUUGAUUCUGAUCGGACCAUCUGUAUUUAACUGAACCCAAUUACUAGCAAGCUAAGGAUAUUAAAUUUUCGUGUUUAAUAGUUUUUAGAAAUUAUAUUUUGUAUUAAACUUUUGUCUGAAUUUCUUUCAAUAUCAAAUUACUCUUUAUAACGUAUGGUAUUUUAUGUCAUAUAUAUAUUUUUUAAAUUGUGUACAUGCAAUUUAGCCUGUAUAAUAUUAAUGGCAUUACUAGAUUUAAUUUUUUUUUAACUUUUGAAAUUUUUUUCUUUUACUAUUUUUAAAGAAUAACCAAAUAUUUAGAAUUCAAUCAAAUGAGAAUUUAGUUCAGUUGACAAAAAUAGAUAUCUUGAAUCUUGAGUACUUCAGUUUAAGACCUACUAUGCACAAAUAUUUACGUAAGGUUUUUUAAUUUUAAUUUAAUUAAUUUUAAUUUAGUUUUAAUCUCGAUUAUAUUAGAACGAUCGAUUUAUGAUUAUUUAUAUUUGUAAUUAUAUUGUACUUGUUACGCUAAAAAAAAUAAAAUUAUUUCACUUUUCCUUUUCUUUCAGAAUAUUUCAUAUUAAUUCCUAAUCGAUCCAGACAUCUGUUUUGUGGUUGCAUCCACUUUAAACUUCAUAAUUCCAAAAUAAGGUGAGCAAAUAAAAGGAUUUGCCUUCCAAUUAUAUAUUCUCACUAAAGGGAAUAUGCAAGUGCCUUCGUUCAUCAUCAUCAUGUGCAUGUGCUUGAUUUUCCCUUUUACCUGGCUAAUUGAAAUGUAUACAUGGGAGUGUGUAUAUAUACAUGCUAAUUGUCACCAUCUUUUAAAGCAUAUAUUCAGCUCCCUGAUAAAUUAUAGAGGAAUAUAUGUUUGUUAGCAUCCUUAUUUAUUAAAGUGAGAUGUUUAAUAAAUACGAGAUUUAUGAUACACUUACAUUUAUAAUAUAAAUGAAAAAUAAAGUUAUUUAACAAACAUAUUUAUUAAAAUUCAUAUAAUAAGCAAUUGAUAUUUUUUAUUAUAAAUGUAAAGUUAAUUGUUUACCAUGCUUGAAUUUAGAGUUGUCUAAGUGUUGAGUUACUCGUCUGAACUCGAGAGUUUGCUCGAAAUAUGAGAGGGUUUAAACAAGUAGACAAAGCUAAAAAAAUAGACUUAGGAAAAUAUAUAGACCCGUUUCCUAUUCGAGCUAGGCCUUGAAUAGAGUUUUUAAGCCCGAGCCUAACCCGACCUGAAUAUAUAUAAUUUCUAUAUUGAUUCUAUUCCUUUGCUGGGUAUGGAACAUUUGAAGGUGUGCAAUUUACUUACGGCAUGUUUGGUUGGGUGUAUUGGCUAUGCCAAUACACCCCUAAUCGGUGGGCCCCACUUAAGCUCCCUUUAUUCCGUUGUUUGGUUCAUGGUAAUGCUAUUACGGGUGUAAUCUAUUACUGCCCUAAUCGGUGAAAUCCAUCGAUUUGUAAUACAGCCCUUUUGCUCAGAUUAGGUGCUGCAUCCAAAUCCCUCCCUGUUUUACCCUCCCAAUUGGCUUCCCCAUUCCAUCGCCUCUUCCUUCGUUCUACCUUCGUUCUACCUUUGCCUCCCGAUUGGCUUCCCCAUUCCUUCGCCUCUUCCUCUGUCUCUCAACCUCUUCUUUUCUUUUUCUUUACAACCAGUCACUCUUUCGUUUUGCCUUCUCAACCAGUCGACCUUUUUCUUUUCUUUUUCUCUGUGUCACUCCUUCGAUUGCUCUCAAUUGAUGGGUUUCCAGGUUACUGCUACUGAAAGGUAAAGGUUUCUAACUCUCUUUUGCUCUCAAUUAUCCUGUAAUUGUUCUAACUCUCUUCUUCUCUCUGUACUGAGUUUUAAUGGCUGUCUUGUUAGUGUCUUCUUCAUUGCACUUUCAGGGCCUGAUCAUAUAAACUUCAUCGAAACACGGAAUCUUUUGUUUCUUCUUCUCUUUUGCUGGAGUUUUUGCUUUAAUUUUCGGUAAAAAUUUCUUACUAAUCUUUGAUUUUGGUUGUUUUCUCAUUGGUUGAUCUUUACGGCCCUCAUGGAAUCAAAGACCUGAAAGUUUAAAGGGAAUUUUCCUUACUUUCUUGAUAAAAUUCAAUUUAAAACAUUCCAAUAAUUUUUUCCACCUUGUGAUUGGUAAUUUUUCACUUCUUAAUUCUUUUUGAAUAAUUGAGUUAUCUACUUCGUUAUUAGAUGAUUAUUGUUAUGAUUAUUUGAAGAACAGUAACUUGUGUACAUGGAGUUUAUUUUGUUCUAAUUGCGUGACAGGUUUUCGAUGCUUAGUUGCAUGUUAAACAGAAAUCCAGAAUGAUCCUAUCAAUGCAAGAAAAGUCACAGUUUAUUCCAAUUUACAAUCAUUUUUUUCUUUUUCUAUGUGUGUUUUUAUCUUGUUAGGAUUAGACUUGCUCAUAUUCAUUUUCGUUCAGUAUGUUGUUUUUUCUAUUAGAUUUUCAUUUUUCUGGAUUGUUCUUUUAAAAAAUGAAUGAUUUUUCCUAGUAAUCUAAUUUAAUUUGUGUUUUUAUGUUAUGGGGGGCUAAAAUGAUUAGUAUUCUUCUCCAGCAAAGAGAAUGAAGCCAGAGGUUUCUUCGUUGAAUCCCUGUGCAGCAUCAUACAUACCACUUGCCAAAAGGGAGGGUUCCAUAGCUAAAGAUAUUAAGGCUGGAAAUGAGUCUGCUUGGUUUGAUCCUUCCUCACGUAGCAAUGCUUCACUUGAAUCUGCAAUCCCUGGCAUUGGAAACCACCUGGUUGCACUGAAAAGCGACCCUGGUCAUGGUUCUUUGAUGCAAAAUCAGGGUGAAAUGAGUGGCGAGCAGAUUAUGGAUGAGGAAUUCGACAUGGAUUUGGAGUAUCUUCGCAUGAUGUUCCCCGGUUUGUCCAAUGACUCUGUUCUGGAUGUCUACAUGGCUAAUAAUGGAGACUUAGAAGCCACUAUUGACAUGCUGAACCAACUUGAGGUAAAUUUUGCCUAUCUUUAUUUUAUAAUUUAUAUAACUUGAUUGUCUGAGUGGUCUUGCUGGAUUAGUUUUCUAUAUUAUUUUCAUCUCGAAUGUUUCCUAUAUUAUUAGCUCCUCUUACUGUUCCAUCCUGCAGAUUUCCAAGUGUCCCUCUAUGAAAGUGCUAGUAGUGAAGUAAUUGAAUUUAUGAAUAAUUUUCUGAUGUUAUGGGUAACAUAUUUCACUUGUUUUUAACUGUAUGACAUCAAAGAGUUAAGGAUGUUAGUCUGCAUUCAGGCCUAUUUCAGCAUAACCAUGGUUUUUCUUCAUUUGUUUUAAUCCUCCCUGUGCAAAUGAUAGAGAUUUUUCAACCUGUUUUUGUCUCCCACCUUUUGAACUUUCAUAUGAUUUUAUACAUUGAUUUAUGUCAAUGAUUUCCCCACAUAUUUUGUUCUUAUGGAUCGUAUACCUUCAGAUGCUUUUAUUGUUUUUAUUCACCUCACUUUCAGUUGAAUAUAUUAUAACUGAGGGUUGUGUAGUGUUAUCUUGUUCAUAUAAAUUUGUUUGGAAAUUUACCUAUUCUAUAAUGCCAUUAAUAAUGUAUGCUAAUUUGAAUAUUGGGGAUAGGAUGUUUUCCUCAUGCUGCUUGCUUCUUGUUUACUCAUUGUACGGCAAGUUCUUUCUUUGGUUUCAUUAGAAGUGAUUUCUGGAGUAUUUGUGAUUUUGAUUCUUGAAUUAGUUUAUGGUUGGGAUUAAAAAUGCACAUUUUUGCCCUUAUUUCAGUAUUCAUGUACAUUGGAUAGUUCUCUUUGUUAGAUGUACACUGUUGAGUCCUCUGACACUCUUCCCGACACAUUGGAUAUCGGUGAUAUCUCUGAAUUUAUCUCUUCAGCAAACUGUGGUACUCUUAAACUGAAGAAUGUGGCAGGUGAAACCGGCGCGUCUUCAUUAGGCUCUACAGAAUCAGCUGUUACCUCCUGAUUGACAUAAUCAAAGGGGUUUCAGUGUUUCUAGUUUUAGUUGUAUCUCUCAGUGGAUAAGAAGUGUACACAAGUAGGGUUCUUCUUCAAGGUUGAGAAAUGUAGUACUUUGCUUUUAACACUUGAAGGGUUUAACAUUGGAUGUGUAGUUGUAUGCUGUAACAUUUGUUUGGUCGCUCAACUUUUUCUACAUUUGUUUGGCGAUGGAAGAGUAUUUGUUUUGUUUAUGCCUUUGCUGGGGGUUCAUUUUCUCUAUAUAAUAUAAUAACUUAUAUUAGAAGUAAAAUUGUAUUUUGCUUUCUACUAAAAGAAUGGGCAAAUUAGUUCGUGUACGUAAGAUUAAAGAGCAAACUAAUCUUUUUGUUAAAAAUUUCAUCCAUUUUUAUAAUUAAAACCGGUCUUUAUAUGUCGGCAUGAGGUACACGUGGUACAUUACAUGUAAUUGUCUGAUUAUUUUUAUUGUUAACAAUUGAUCUUUUUACAUAGUUUGUGAUAUAUGCACAAAUGAGGUGAAAUUUAUUAAAUUUUAUUCACCGAAUCUAUCAAUUUUCAAAUUUGGAAAAUCAGUCGACUUGCAACGACUUUUUGGAUAGGAUCAAACAUUCUUGGAUUGAGAUAUUUUCAUAGUGUUUGGAGAUCUCUUAAUAUAAGAAUAUUAAUUAUUAAGAAUUUUAUUAAAUUAUAUAUUUUAAUUAUAAUAUAUUUAAUAAUAAUUAUGUUUAAAUAUGAUUAAAAUAUUUAUUAUUGAUAUUAAUAAUCUUAUUAAAAUUUAAAUAACAAUAACAAUAAUAAUUUACCAAAACAAAUUUCUGCUAAUUAUUAAGAAUUUUAUUAAAUUAUAUAUUUUAAUUAAAAUAUAUUUAAAAAUAAUUAUUUUUAAAUAUGAUUAAAUUAUUUAUUAUUGAUAAUAAUAAUCUUAUUAAAAUUUAAAUAAUAAUAACAAUAAUCAUUUACCAAAACAAAUUUAUGCUAAGGGUAUUCUAGUCAUUUUAGUUUUUUCCAUUAUGUUAUUACACCUCUAUUCCAUUCAACCAAACACAAGAUUACUAUUACGCCUCUAUUCCAUUACAUUCAACCAAACAGUUGAUUUGCUAUUACACCUCUAAUCCAAUACACCUCUAAUCCAAUACAGCUCUAAUCUAAUACACAUCUAAUCUAAUACAGCGAACCAAACGCACCCUUAGUGAUACUGAUGAUGUCUAAGUUGAUUGUAAUUACAUUUAUAAGAUCCCGAUAGCUCUGCAUAAAGGUUUGGAUAAGAUGAUUUGGCGUUGCUCUAAUAAUGGAUUAUAUUCAAUAAAAUCAGGAUGCAAGUUAGCCUCUGAUUUGUAUUCAAAUUUUGUUUCGAAUGAAGCCGGCGGUCCUCGAUUGAAGAUUUGGAAUGGCCAUUUCCAAUCGGAGGUGAACUAUUUUACUUGGAGGUGUCUCAGAAACUUUAUUCCUACCAAGGCAAUGUUAAUUGUUAAAGGAUUAAAUGUGCCUUCUAUUUGUGCUAAAUUUUAUAUAUAAACUUACGCCCUGUUUGAGAAUGUUAAUCAAUUAAAAAUUAAUAUUCAAUUAAUUGAAAAUUGAUAUGUAAUUUUAGUUGAAAUUUGAUGAAUUGUUUUUUUUAAAUGGAAUGGCAAUAUUUGCAUGAUAUUUUGAGUUCAAAUAUCUUUAUGAUUAAAUUUUUAUUGAUUUAUUAUAUGUAAAAAAGAUUAAAAAAAGAAAGAAAAGAACAUUAUCACAAAAAUAUAAUUUAAUUAGUAUAUAAGAGAAUAUUUUAAUAAUUUUAAAAUUGAAUUGAUAAUCCAUCACACUGGUAUAGAUUAACUAAGGAGUGUUUCAAAGUGUUGAACGCCUCAUGGUCUGGAAAACAUGGCCAUAAAAACAAUAUACUAAACACAUAAGUGUAAGACCCAAAUUUUGCCCAAGCCUAAAAUAUUUACAGUCCAAUUACAAAACCCAAUAUUUAACCUAAACUAUCAGCCCAAUUAAGACCUAAAACAAAGACCCAAAACCAAGCCCAACACGGCCCAAACUAACAAAAACCCUAAUGCCUCGAUAGGCCCAAAAUCUAAACAAAUUUCAGCCAAAAUAUGGAAGCAGAAACCCAAGUGCGCCGCUCCCUACGUGGUGUCAGCACCUUCUCCGCUGCAACGCUGCCACUGGCCUCCUCCACGCCUCUGACAGCACCUGCAAAACCAAAGCAACAAGCAAAACAACAGCAGAGACAACAGUGGCAACAGAGUAGAAGGAAAACGAAAUAGUAGAAUAUAUUGUAAUUUAUUCGACUAUAAAAGCCUCGAAAAAUCAGUGUAUCAAGGGGGAUUUUUGGGGAACAAAAAAGAAAAUCGAAUAAAAGAGAAGAAAUUUGAAACAAAAUACCAAAGGUGAUUCCUCUUUUUAUUUUUUAUCUUACUUUCAAAAAAAAAACAAUAAACAAAAGCACGGUCUUUUUACCUGAGUCGACAAACCUUCCACAGUGGUCGAAAGUCCUCUCCGGCGUUCGAAACCUAGAACCCAUAGUGGUUCGGCGUGAUGAUUUUGAGAGACGUUGUAACGCCUCAAUUUUUAGGCCUGGAAGUAUUGGGCCUUCAGUCUAGGUUUGGGUAGAAGACGGCCCGAAUAAUUUGGAUGUUAUUAUUAUUAUUAUUUCGUAUGUUUAGUUUAGUAAUUAAAUAAAUUAUGAAGGGUUUAUGGUGUGGGAAAAGGUCCAGGGCUCGGCCCAUAGCUUUAGCAAAAUUAUUAAAUUUUGCCUCUUAAGGGAAUCUGGGCAAUAGGCCUUAUUAAUAAUUUGGGCAAGGAACUUGGUGUUGGCCGAAUAUUGGACUCUUGAGGGGCAAGAGUUGGCCGACCAAGGGUCUUUAGUAUAGGCAAUUCGGCUAGGUCUAUGUGCUUUUUAAUUUUUCCCUUGACGAAUAUUAUUUCCCUUCUCCCCUCUCUUUUAUUCAUAUUUUCUUUUCUUUUUCCCUCAUAGCCGAACCCAUACCCCUUUCUUUCUUCAUUAUUUCUUAAAAGUCAAAUCUUAUUAUAGCCGAACCUCUAUUCUUUUCUUCCUUAAAAAGCCAAAACCUUCAUACCUAUGGUUUAGGAAGCCGGAUCUUUGGCUACUUGAACCUGUUUCUUCUAACUACGGUAGAUCGGGAUUAAUAUCAUAGAUAUGAGCACUUUUCUGGGCCAAACAAUGAUUGGUAAGUUUGUCGAAUAAUUUUUGUUAAUUAUUUAUGAUUUAAUAUAAAAGCGGAAACCCCUUAAGGGUGGCUAAUGUUUGGACUAAGGGCGUUAGUGCCUCUUUUUUUCCAUUGUAUAAGCAUUAGCGUGGACAAAGGGGCGUGCAGUAAAGGGUUUGAAGACUGAUUCGGACUGGAUAUCUAGAUCUAAUCCAUAUUUCGGCAAAAAGGUAAGAACUCUAGGGUUAAGGGAUGUUGGCCGAAUUUGGUAAGGGGGAAUAGUACGUAGUUUGUUUUCGGUAUGUAGACUGACAUUUAGUAACUCGAUUGUAGGAAACCCCUGAGUGGAUCUCGCCAGCAUACCGUUACAAAUCAGGUGUGUAAACGACACCCACUCAUAGACUAGAUCGGCAAAAGCCGAAAAGUUGAAAUGCCGAAAAGUCGGCAUUUUGUGAACUUGCGAGCGUGCGAGUGCUCGUGAGGUGGUUAGUUUGUUAAAUUUUGGUAAUCACAAGCGGUAUGAUUGUAGAGUGCGCAAUUUCAUGCACUUCAGUAUAUUUGGGCUUAAUGGGCCGAAAACGGGUUAGUGGGCCAACGGGCCUAAUUCGGUAAAAACGCUCGGUAGGUGUUUUUGUUAAUGCGUUAAUAACUAUAAUGAGCAUGAAACCCUAAAAAUAUUGAUAAAAUUACUGAAAUACCUCUGUAAGAUAGAAUUACCGUAAUACCCCUAAAGGGGUAAGUUUACGAUUACGCCCCUCGAGGGUAAAUAACUAUUCUUACGCUAUAAUCUGACUGUCUUUCUGAAGCAUGCCUUGUUAAUUAUAUAUAUAUAUUCUACAUACAUGUCAUACUGCAUGGGGUUGGGUUUUGUUAUGGAGGAAGAACCCGUUCUGGUAGCUGUGCCACAUAUUCUGAUAUAAGCAACUUGGCUGCGGAUUAUAGUUAGUGCCGCAACUGGUGCUAACACUGUAAGUGUAAGGAUGGCGUGGGUGAUUUAUUCCCCACAGGAAGUGUAGGGAUGGACGGAGGCAAGUGCAGGGUUGGAUGGGGUUAUCAUGUGUUAAUCAUAUGAGACUGUUUUAUUAUGGGCCAACUGUAUUGAAAUGGGCCCAACUGUGUUGAUAUGGGCAAGGCCCAAUAUAUCUCGACUUGUAAUAGGGCUAUCGCCCAGAUUAAUACUAAUAUGGGCUAGACCCAGUAUACUUUGAUAUUGUAAAGGGCUAUGGCCAGAUUAAUAUUGAUAUGGCCUAAGGCCCAGUUAGCCCUGAUUUUUGAAUAGAGGUUAGGCCUAGUAAAGCUUGAACUGAUUUGGGCUCUGGUUGGGAUACUUUACACACUGAGUUUUCUAAACUCACCCCAUUUUUUCCUAUCUUUGCAGGUGAGCCUUAGAUCGGUGGACUUGGAGCUGGAGGGAUUCAGAGUGGCCAUGUGGACUGUUUAAAAUAAGUGUUUAUACCUUCACUUUUAUUUUAGAUUAUUUCCUUUAUGUUUUCGGGUUUUUAAUUUGUAAUAAGGCUGCUUUAAUUAUUUUUUAAUUGUUUUUAGUAUGUUUUGUUAGCUUAGAUAUGAUAUUGUUUUAAUUGUUUGAAAUUGAAUAGCUCUAGGGCGUGUUUUCAAAAGAAAUUACCUGAUUUCAAAAUAUCGCGAAACAAGACAAAGCUUCCGCAACGAAAACGUUUUCAAAAUUUAAUAAGUGAUUUCAAAUGGAUAAAAACGAAAUGGUUUCUUCUAAACAAUCGCUCAGUUAAAGUGUGGCAAUGGUUGUGUGCAUGUCUAGGAGUGGAUCCGUGGAGAGCUUGGUACUUAAGCAGUCUAAUAGACUCACCUCCUCUUUUCUAGUAUCCUACCUGGUGCACAGCUCCCAUUCACUUUAAUUUAAAACGAAAAUAUUCUUUGAACACUAAGAAAAAAAUUUAGAUAAGACAUGAGUUUUCAGUUACGCUUUAAUGUGACACGUUGGAUUCGACCGUAAUAUAUGAGCCGGGUUUGGGGUGUUACAUUUAGUGGUAUUAGAGCCCAGUUGCAACAACUCGGCUGUGGAUCGGGUCCGAACGUUUUUCAUAAAAUUUUGAAAUCUAGUUCCAUGGAAAAACACUGAAAUCGAUUUUGUGGAAAUGUUAGAAAAUUAUUUUAAAUUUUGUUUUCAAAGUGCACAAAGAAUAAAUUUGAAUUUUACUAAGUGCACAAAGAAGUGGCACACUGAAUCCCCGGCACCAAGUCUGUAAGUACCUUUUCUGAACUUUACUAAGUAUUUGUUAUAUUACUGAGACUCUGCUAUGACAUUAUAGUUAGAGCUAGAGUGCACAGUAGAAGCAUAGUGGUUUGGCUUGAGUAAUACGGUUAGUUGAUAGUUUGAAAUUUCGAGGACGAAAUUUCUUUAAGGGGAGUAGAGUUGUAACGCCCCGAUUUUUGGGCCUGAAAGUAUUGGGCCUUGAGUCUGGGUCUGGGUAGAAGACGACCCGAAUAAUUUGGAUGUUAUUAUUAUUAUUAUUAUUUAUUAUUUCGUAUGUUUAGUUUAGUAAUUAAAUAAAUUACGAAGGGUUUAUGGUGUGGGAAAAGGUCCAGGGCUCGGCCCAUAGCUUUAGCAAAAUUCUUAAAUUUUGCCUCUUAAGGGAAUUUGGACAAUGGCCUUGUUAAUAAUUUGGGCUGAGUUUUAGCAUAAGCAGGCACCUGGCCCAGUGGCUAAGGACGCUAGGAGGGCGUGGGAGGUGCUUGGGUUCAAGGCACAGCGCGCGCAAAUUGGGUGUUUUAUUUUAAUAUGCAGAUGGCGGUUGAAAUAAGGGUUAAGAGGAAAUGCCAGCAUAAUUCAACACAAGGAGCGCCUGUGGCGCAGUGGCAGCAGCGUGCUGGGCACACAGAGAGGGGGCGGGUUCGAGUCCUUGCGCGGGUGAACUCCGUUUUAUUUUUGAAACGGGCCAGAACUGAAGAAGGUAAGGUUAUAAAAUAAUUGAGAGAGGAUUAUGUUAUGGAAGGAACCUCGGUGCAGUGGCAAGCAGUGUAUGUGUGUGUUUAGCAGGUCCUGGGUUCGAGAGGAACAGUAGGCAAAAUUUCUUUUUUAUUUCACAAGUAACCGGAGCUUCAGCAGGUAAGGUUUUAUAAAUAAUUGUAACCAUAUACUAGUAAAGAAUGAAGUGUGGUGCAGUGGCCAGCAGCACUGGCGUAAGUGUAAGGGUAGACGGAGGUUUGGGGUUCAAGUCUCACUUUGUUUUUAUUCAUAUUUUCUUUUCUUUUUCUUUUUCCCUCAUAGCUGAACCCAUACCCCUUUCUUUCUGUCUCUUCCCUUAUUUUACUUUCUUCAUUAUUUCUUAAAAGCCGAAUCUUAUUAUAGUCGAACCUCUAUUCGUUUCUUCCUUAAAAAGCUGAAACCUUCAUACCUGUGGUUUAGAAAGCCGAAUCUUUGGCUACUUGAACCUGUUUCUUCUAACUACAGUAGAUCGGGAUUAAUAUAAUAGAUAUGAGCAAUUUUCUGGGCUGAACAAUGAUUGGUAAGUUUAUCGAAUAAUUUCUGUUAAUUAUUUAUGAUUUAAGAUAAAAGACAGAACCCCUUAAGGGAGGCUAACGUUUGGACUAAGGGCGUUGGUGCCUCUUUCUUUUCCAUUGUAUAAUCAUUAGCGUGGACAAGGGGAUGUGCAGUGAAGGGUUUGAAGACUUCUUCGGAUUGGAUCUCUAGAUCUAAUCCAUAUUUCGGCAAAAAGGUAAGAACUCUAGGGUUAAGGGAUGUUGGCCGAAUUUGGUAAGGGGGAAUAGUACUUAGUUUGUUUUCAGUAUGUAGACUGAUGUUUAGUAACUCAAUUGUAGGCAACUCGUGAGUGGAUCUAUCCAGCGUACCAUUACAAAUCAGGUUUGUAAACGACACCCACUCAUAGACUAGAUUGGCAAAAGUCGAAAAGCUGAAAUGUUGAAAAGCCGUCAUUUUGUGAACUUGCGAGCGUGCGAUCGCUCGUGAGGUGGUUUGUUUGUUAAAUUUUGGUAAUCACAAGUGGUAUGAUUGCAGAGUGCGCAAUUUCGUGCACUUCGGCAUAUUUGGGCUUAAUGGGCCGAAAACGGGUUAGUGGGCCAACGGGCCCAAUUCGGUAAAAACACUAGGUAGGUGUUUUUGUUAAUGUGUUAAUAACUGUAAUGAGCAUGAAACCCUAAAAAUACUGAUAAAAUUACUGAAAUACAUCUGUAAGGUAGAAUUACCGUAAUACCCCUAAAGGGGUAAGUUUACGAUUACGCCCCUUGAGGGUAAAUAACUGUUCUUACGCUAUAAUCUGACUAUCUUUCUGAAGCAUGUCUUGUUAAUUAUAUAUAUAUAUAUUCUGCAUACAUGUCAUACUGCAUGGGGUUGAGUUUUGUUAUUGAGGAAGAACCCGUUCUAGUGGCUGUGCCACAUAUUCUGAUAUAAGCAGCUUUGCUGCAGAUUAUAGUUAGUGCCGCAACAGUUGCUAACACUGUAAGUGUAAGGAUGGCGUGGGUGAUUUAUUCUCCACAGGAAGUGUAGGGAUGGACGGAAGCAAGUGCAGGGUUGGAUGGGGUUAUCAUGUGUUAAUCAUAUGAGACUGUUUUGUUAUGGGCCAACUGUAUUGAAAUGGGCCCAACUGUAUUGAUAUGGGCAAGGCCCAAUAUAUCUCGACUUGUAAUAGGGCUACGGCCCAGAUUAAUACUGAUAUGGGCUAGACCCAGUAUACUUUGAUACUGUAAGGGGCUAUGGCCAGAUUAAUAUUGAUAUGGUCUAAGGCCCAGUUAGCCCUGAUUUCUGAAUAGGGGUUAGGCCUAGUAAAGCUUGAACUGAUUUGGGCUCUCGUUGGGAUACUUUACACACUGAGUUUUCUAAACUCACCCCAUUUUUUUCCCAUCUUUGCAGGUGUGCCUUAGAUCGGUGGACUUGGAGCUGGAGGGAUUCAGAGUGGCCAUGUGGAUUGUUUAAAAUAAGUGUUUAUACCUUCACUUUUAUUUUAGAUUAUUUCCUUUAUGUUUUCGGGUUUUUAAUUUGUAAUAAGACCGCUUUAAUUAUUUUUUAAUUGUUUUUAGUAUGUUUUGUUAGCUUAGAUAUGAUAUUGUUUUAAUUGUUUGAAAUUGAAUAGCUCUAGGGCGCGUUUUCAAAAGAAAUUACCUGAUUUCAAAAUAUCGCGAAACAAGACAAAGCUUCCGCAACGAAAACAUUUUCAAAAUUUAAUAAGUGAUUUCAAAUGGAUAAAAACGAAACGGUUUCUUCUAAAUAAUCGCUCAAUUAAAGUGUGGCAUGGUUGUGUUCAUGUCUAGGAGUGGAUCCGUGGAGAGCUUGGUACUUAAGCAGUCUAAUAGACUCACCUCCUCUUUUCUAGCAUCCUACCUGGUGCACAGCUCCCAUUCACUUUAAUUUAAAACGAAAAUAUUCUUUGAACACUAAGAAAAAAAUUUAGAUAAGACAUGAGUUUUCAGUUACGCUUCAAUGUGACAUGCUGGAUUCGACCGUAACGUCUGGGUCGGGUUUGGGGUGUUACAGAAGUUAAAAAAGUUUUUGGUUAUUUUUUUUAUUUUGGAAGUAGAGGGUUCAAAACGGAGAAAAAAUGGCUCUUUUCGUGUACUCCGACCAUUGUGGACGGCGGCCGCCACGGUGGUCCGGUGAUCGGACCUUGGCCGGAUGCUGGAAGAGGGGAUAGAGUUUGAGAGGUUUUUCCUUUGUUUUUUUUGAGAGGUGUUGAAAAGAGCAAAAAAAAAGAGUGUAAAUUUUGGUUUAAAUACUAGUACUAAAACGAUACUGUUUUGGGCUUUAUGCCCCAGAUGCAAAACGACGCCGUUUCAUCCCUACCCGCGUGUUGACCCGACCCGUCUAGGGGCAUCCACGUGUUUUGACCGAAUGGGCUUGUUGCACUUUUGGCCCUUCCGCUUUUUUAUCAAUUUGCAAUCAAGCUUCCUUUUAUUUGUAAUUCGUGCCCUAUAAUUUAUUUCAAUCAUCAAUUUAGUCCCACACAAAGUGACACGUUUUGGAGGGCAGGAAUAUUUAUUCCUCUAGUCCCUCCAUUUCAUUCGCGCACUGCAAUAUGGUCCUUUCCCUUUUAUUCCUCUCAGAUUUGCCCCGAAUUUUUGUUUUAAGUUCAAAUUGGUCCCUUUUUGUUAUUUUUGCUAUUUUAUUAACUGUUUAAUAUUAUUGUUACUAUAAUCAUAUUUUAUUUUUGUGCUUAUUUAUUUGCUACUAUCAUUAUAUUAUUAUAUUAGUAACUUUGUAUUAUUAUCAUUAUUAUAAUCAUAUUUUCUUUUUGUGUUUCUUUACUUAUUAUUACAUUAUUAAUUGAUCUAUUAUUACUAUUAUUAUUAUUUUCACUAUUACUAUUAUUUUCUAACAUUAUUAUUACUAUUACUAUUAUUUAUUUAUUUAUUUAUUUAUAUCAUUGUUGUUAUUAUUAUUAUUCCUGAUUUUAUUAUUAUUGGUGUAUUAUUAUUAUUAUUCUUCAUUUUAUUAUUAUUUUCUAUUUUAUCAUUUAUUAUUAUUAUUUAUUAUCAAUAUUAUUAUUAUCAUUGCUAUUUUUAUUUUCAUUACUAUCAUUAUUAUUAUUUACUAUUAUUUAUUAUCAUUAUUAUCACCAUUUCCUACUAUUAUUAUUAUUAUUAUCAUCAUUAUUAUUUAUUUGUUUACAUAUGUUUUAUUACAAAUUGUGUCUUUAACUUCAUUUAUCUUUUGAUUCUUUACUUUCAAUAUUUCUUUGUCUUUAUUAUAUUUCAAAACUGGUAUCGUCAUUUCAUGUGCGUGAUUUAUCAUUAGUGUUCUUGUCGUCAUCAUUGUUAUUAUUAUUUAUUUUGUUUUCCUUUGAUGGUUAAUACUGGAAUUAAAGUGAUAUGCAUUAUGGAUUGCUUAUUAGUAUAUUUACAUUAUUGCCACUUAUUUGUGUAACAUUCGAUUCUUAUGCCAUUUUUAUAUUACGCUAAUUCUUACUCAAAUACACAAAAAUAAAAUUUUUAAAAUAAGGCAAUAUUCUGUGUUUGGAGAUUUGAAAGAUCGUGCCCUAACUUAUUGGGUUUCGAUUUUUCUUUGUUCGACCUAAAUGACCGAAUAACCUUUUGAAAUUAAAACGCAUGAAUUUUGAAAAUCAAAAAGCAAGCUUAUUCUCGAGGUUUUAAAAUGCUGUGUCCUAAUUUAUUGGAUGUGACAUUUUAUUACUUCGGGACAAGAAGGUCUUUAACAUCCGUUUCGAUUGAUGCAAGCAAAUUCUUUGUAAAAAAAUCAACAUUAAAAAGAAAGGAUCGUAUUUUUAAUUCUUUUCGAGUUUUUAAAUUUUUACAUUAAGACAUUAAUUAAUCAAUUUGGUACCAAUUUUGGGCGUGACAAGGGUUCUAAUCAUUCCUUGCACGUAACCGACUCCCGAACCCGUUUUCUCAAAUUUCGUAGACAAAAAUUGUUGUUUUAGCAAAUCGAAAUAUUUUAUUAAAAUAACCAAAUUUCUAAGUGAUCUGAUCACACCUAAAUAAAAAGAUUGAUAGCGACUUCCAAUUUUUGUUUUCUUUUCAAAAUAUAAAAUUGAUCCGUUUUAAAAAAAUAGUUUCGAGAGUAAGAAUGUUAGAUCCAAUCGGUUAAAGUAUCCUAUCCCAUUGAAUUUCUAAUUUCCAGCCAAUUGGGUGACUCAUUCUGUCUCGAUUAUGGAUUGAAUAUACACGGAUCCCACAACCCUUUAAAUGACGAGAGUUUCCCACUGCCACAGUUUAGAAAUUCUAUUUUAAAGAGAAGUGACAUUUACCUCAUUUACUCUUAUCGGUUUGUCAUGUUUUGAAUUUGAUCUAUUGCAAAAACUUUCUGAUCUCAUGAUGAGUUUUAUUCACUAUGACACCUUCGUUGACAACAUCCAUCAUAUUUCUUUCCAUGGGUAGGAGUCAUUCAUAAAAAUAUUGGAUGAAUAAUUGUUCCAAAAUUCUAUGUUGUGAGCAACUACCACAUAAUUGCUUAAAUCUCCUAAUACUCGUGAAGAGUCUCCAUACCGUUUUGCUUGAUGCCGUAACUUUUUCCUAGUAGAAAUAGCACAUGACGUAAAAAAAAAUCCGAAAAUAAUCUUAUCAUGUCAAUCCAUGUAGUAAUAGAUCCAGGAGGUAGAUAAUAUAGCCAAUCCUUCACCUUGUUGGCUAGUGAAAAGGUGAAGUCUCUUAGUUUGGUUUGUUCUUUGAUCACUCAUUGUCGUCUCAUAAUAGAACACACUACACCACAUGAAAAUCAUUCAAGUGCUUACGAGGAUCUUUGUUUUUUUGACCACAAAAACUGUUAGUACAAAUAUCCGGUGAGAAAAAUCUCGAACACACGAACAGAACUCGAAAGAAGAAGAAAUAGGACAAGGCUCCAAGGCGUGUAUCAAACCACUUUCUCUAAGAUUAUAUUCGCCCCCACCUAUCUUUGGUGUACAAAUGAGUUCCAAGCAAAUUAACCUUGAUGAUACAAUGAAGCCAAUGACUAUUAGCGUUUUGUACUGACGAGAAUAGCCCACUACACACUGAGCAAUGUAUGACAAGAAACUCAAUUUCUAUAAAGGAUUUUUGCAGUAAUACUUUAUAGAAUAAUCUAAUGAUAUUAGAAAAUGAAGAAAGGAAAGAAAGAAUAUUAGAAUUUGUUGGUAUGAUUUCCAAAUGAAAUCUCAUUCUAUUUAUAGGAAUUUUCAUGUCUCUUCAUAAAGACAUCUUUCAUCAAUAGGUGUCUUUCUGAAUAAUAAUGUCUUUAAAAUAAACACAUAAUUAUUCAAUUAAUUAUAACUAUUCAAAUAAUAUUAUUUAAAUAGUUAUAAUUCUUUUUCAAAAAAUCAAAUAAUAUAAUCUUUUGAUUAAUUACACCCAUUCAUUUAUAGUUGUAAAUAUUUGAAAAUGUUCCAACAAAAAGUAGGCAAUAAAUGAUUUAGUCCAGAUUUUAAUUCAAAAGAUACUUCUAAUCCUAGAUAUUCAAUGCACAACAGUUGUUGCUUCAGAUUUAUUUAAGAGAGAAAUUGGUUAUUCUCCUUUUGAUUCGGUAGAUGAAUCGACUGAAUUGUUCUAUGUAUCUAGUUGGGUAAUGAAGAUGGUUGGUUAGUUCUUGCUCGAACUCUCUUCCUUAGUCUUCGAGCAGUUCUCUCAAACUCAGGAUUGUACAAGAGUUCACCUGCACGAGAAGAUUAAAAUUUUAAUUUUAAUAAAUAUAUUUAAUACUGAGAAAAAAAGAAGAUCAAAACAUAAAAAUGAACAAAAAUUAAAUUAAAUUAAAAACAAGAAAGAGAUAAAAUUAUUAACAUUAAUAUAUGAUAAAAAGGUUAAAAUCUGUACAAUUGUUGAGACCUAUAAAAAUAAAAUCCUACUAAAAAAUAUAAAUUUAGUACAUAACAUUGAGUAGAGUCGUAUUCAUAGAUAUUGAUAAUAACUUUAUUUUUAAAACAAAAACAAGGAAAGUAAAUAUGAUGGAGAUUUUAGAAAAUAAAAAGCUAAAUUUAAAUUUAAAUCUUAACCAAGAAGGCAAUAAUAAAAAUUAUCAAUGAGAUGGAGCUCUAGCCAAUUGUAAAAUAUCUGUUUGAUUCACAAGUUUAAUCAUUGAUGGAAAGAUAAUUCCAUUGUUCUUUAAUAGAUUAGUUCAAAGUUGCCAAUGUCGUACCUAGCAAUCAGUCUCUCCUUAAUUUAUCGAUAACCAAGAGAAAGCUGUUGAAAUUAAUCUUCUUAUCAAUGAACAACCCUAUAACCUCACGUUUAGAAUUUAACUUACCGAUAGAGUUAUAAACGAGAGAGACCUAAUUUUAACCAAAAAAACACACAAGUAGGAUUUAUUUAAAUUAGAUUGCAUUCCCACACAACAUUGAUUGCAUACACAGUUACAGUAUUUAAAUUAGCUCCAUUGGCCAUGGAUUCUACAAGUUGUGUUGACAUUGAUGAUUUUUUUUAUGCUAUUGGUGAUGUCUGUAUUGUCAAAGCGUCAGGUAGAAUGUAUAACAGAUGGCUUGACCAUUGCUGACUUUUACCAAUCCAGCAUGUUUUAAAACUUGGUGGUAGUUGCUGCUACUGGUUAUGUAUUGAGUUGCUGGGAUGCUAGUUAUGUUUUAUUCUGCUGUUGGAAACAUGGUUUGUUGUUGGGGAUUUUUUUGUUGUCAGAUUUACUAUGUUAUGGUUCCUGGUUUAUUGUUUGAUGACUUGAUGGAUGGACGCAGAAGUUGGAGAAAACAUAAGAGUAUAAAUUGAGUCAAAAGAUAAAAUAGUAAAGGCCAUUCUGUUUUAUUUUUCCAUAAUAUUAUACAAACAGUCAACCAUGUAUAUACACAUGGCACUGACAUGAUUGUGAAGGCCUACACACUUUCUAAUGGUUGUACUGGCUAUCAAAAUUUAUUACCAUAACAGUAGUACGGGUAAUGAAGCAGCAGGCAGCUCGUUAUUAUUUAAUUUUGAUAGCCUUAACUACCAGCAUAGCUUGAUGAAGAAGCAAAGGCAGUUAUGCCUCUAACUCAAAUGAUGCCUUCAUUGUGGGUGAACGGCUCACGGGAUCAAUUUCAAUAGAUGCAAUGUACCCAAACUUUGUAACUUUAAAUUUUGGUUUUCCUCUUUUCUCAAGGUUGGUUUUGAUUUGCCCCCAGUGAAUAG
rnacentral:lncRNA from 1 species